rnacentral:lncRNA from 1 species
GUUACAGCUUCGGCACUGACCAGGAGACUGUAAGUACUGGCCAUGGAUGCAGAAGAAGAAAGGCUAAGUAAAACCCACAUCCAUGGCCAAUUGGUAGAGAUAAACCACAAUCAGGAGAAACGAAUACGCCACGAAGAAACAAAGGCGCAGAAUCUGACAACUGGGUUUGCGGUCGUCCAAGCUUUAAUUCUCAACACAGGGGUGAUCAAUAAGCCAUCCAACAGAUGCGAACACUGGUGGGUGCCAUUCUCUCUCUCCUUAUCCGUCGGUGUGAUUUAUUUCAUCACCAUUUUUGAGGUGUUGAGGAAAUGGUACCUUCUGCUCUACCAUUUGGACGUCAACUACCUGGAGCAAGAACUUAUUCUACUGGAAAUGCAUGGGGGUGCUCCGUCCUGGCGAAAUGAUCAGCCAUUGAAGCCAGAUGUGGUGAAGCUCCUGAGGCGUAAAGCUUAUAUCACGAUACUGAUUUCUGCUAUGCUCGCCUUUCAAGCUCUGAUGCUCCACGCCUGCAGAUCCUUUCUUUGCAGCUGAAAGUAACCAUCUUCCCCUUUAAAUAAAUACUAGAAUAAAAAAAAAAAUUGUUGUUUAUUAUGCCAAAUUUCUCGAUGCCUUUGAAGAGUGUCAUGGGAAAGGCUAUUAAGAUGCAAACUACAUAAUUCAAAAUGCAUUAUAUGCAACGAAAUUAUUUACCAUGAAAUUUAUUUAUAUUGUUUUUCUUUCUAAAGUAUUCAAAAUGCAUGAUAUGCAAUCGAAAAAUUUGAGGGAAAAUAUUACAGAAAGAAAAUAGAGAGAAAAAGUAGAAUAAAAAAAUGAAAAAAAAUAAAAAAUAUAUUUAAAGUCAAUAAAUUAUUUUUAUAUUUUAUUUUAAACUCAUUUUAUUUAUUUUAACUCAUGAUAUAAAAUUAAAUAAUUUUAAAAUAUAUAAAAUUUUAAUUAAUUUUAAUUAUAUUUGAUUUGAGAAACUCAUUUUACUACACAUUUUUUUUUCCCUUUUUCAGUAGUUUUGGCAACCAAACAUUUACCUAAAAUUUUGUUAAUGCAUCUCCCUAGGUGUUUGUGCUCACAUAUUGGGCCCAAGAAUGGGUUCCUGCAACUACCAUCAGUGGGCUGGGCUGCCCAAUCAAUAACAAAAGGGCACUCACCUGGGUCUCAUGGGCCGAAAAAAAUGGAGCCCAUACACAACAGUUUUGAACCCAAACAUAAAUUUCAAGUUCAUAUAUACUUUUAAUCUCGUUUAUUCAUUCAUAUUAGAAAUCUAGAUUUAUAUUAAUUCAUUCAUGUAGAUCUAUAUAUUAGGAAUCAAAUUAGAGUGCAUAGAAACCAAAAUUAAGAGAGAGGAUUAUACCCAAGGAAGUUUUGUGUGAUACGUUGAACCGAAAGUGAUAAAAACUAAGGCUAUGUUUGGUUCCCGGAAAAUUUGAGGGAAAAUGCGAGGGAAAGAAAAUACAAAGGAAAAGUAGAAGGAAAGAAAAAGUGAAGGAAAAUAAAAAAAUAUAUAAAAAUUUGAUAAAUUAUUUUUUUUGUUACUUCAAACUCAUUUUAUUUAUUUUAACUCAUCAAUAUAAAGAUUAAAUAAUUUAAAAAUACAUAAGCUUUUAAUUAGUUUUAAUUAUAUUUGAUUUUCUUUGAUAUUUUUCAUAGGACAACCAAACAUGAGAAAAUCAUUUUCCUUAGCAUUUUUUUUCUUUCCUUUGUACUUUCCGGGAACCAAACAUAGCCUAAGACUAUGUUUAAUUCUCAAAAAGCAAUAAGGAAAGAAAAAAAAUGAAGGAAAAUUAUUUUUUCGUAUUUUAUUUUUCUAUGAAAACCUUGAAAGGAAAUAAAAUAUAAUUAAAAAUUUAUUAUAUAUUUUUAAAUUAUUAAUUUCCAUAUAAAAGAGGAACAAAAUGUCAGAUGAAUUUGAAGUAACAAAUAAAAAUAAUUUAUAAGUUUUAAAUUCAUUUUUUUAUUUUCCUUAAUUCCUUCUUUUACUUUUUCUUUCUAUUUUCUUUCCCUCACAUUUUCUCUUGGAUUUUCUAAGAACCAAACAUAAUAUAAAAAAUAUUUAAUAUAAAAAAACAAAUAAUAUAUAAAAAAACCCAAAUAAUUUGACAUGUGGUAUAUUGUUGCUAGUCAAAGUAAUGGUCGUGGGUGACUUUUAGAAGCCUCCAAUAAGAAAUGGCCAAAAAACCUAUGAGCUCGGCAUUUAUUUGAGUAUCUCGAGGACAAUAUUUUAUUUUUAAUUAUGUGUUUUAAUUCAUUGUUUUUUUUCUUUAAUAUUAUUUUAGAAAUAUGUUUAGAGAUAUGUUAAUUUUAGUGCUUAAAAAGAUUUUGAAAUAUAAAGAUUUUGAUAAUUAAAAAUUCGUUUAAAAAUGAUUUUAGGAAGCAUUUAACCUAUUUAAUCUUUAAAAUUUUUAUAAAAGAGUUGUUUUCAAGUGCUAAAAAAAUUAGAGACAUUUUAUAAAAUUACUAUUAAAUAAAUUCUAAAUAUAAUCGAGUCGUGUGACUAUAAAUUGCUAGACUUUUCCAUGUGAUUAAUCCUUGGAUACUUGGAAUUUGUUUAUGUGGGGUAGAGCUUUUGUGAGUUUGUUUGCAAUUUUCUCAUACUAGAAACAAAUGAAUGGUCAGAGAAAGGAACAUAGAAAAGAGAAGAUUGAAACACCUUCACCUGCUCCGAAGGUUCGUAUGAUCUUCAUGCCAGCCUCCAUGCCUCAUUUUCCCGCUUAUAAAAAAAGGCCACAAAAGACUUGACUGAUCUGAUAAAGCAGGGCCGGAAAAGCGAGCUCGACACGAAGAAACGAAAGCCGGCCAAUGCAGUCCGAGAGAUCACACAGCGAACUGUUCGAGUCUGGGCUUUUGUUUCUUCGUGUCGGUCUUGCUUCUGUCUCCGGCCGGAGGAACAAAAUUGUACAGACAUGGAUGGGAAGAACUCCUGUAAUAUCAAGAGUCCUUCUAUCUUUGGAUUGUUAUAAUAAUAUUAUCUUCAAAACAAAAUUUAUGCAAGUGGGGGUAUAUUUUUUAUUUUUUGUUUUUGAAAAUAGGAAGUUUUAUACAAAAUAUAAAAAAAUCUUAUAUGAAAGAUAGGUAUAAUAUUGUUAUGUUAUUUGAAAACAUUUUUUAAAAUUGACGGAAGUAAAAAAAUUUCAAUUCCAUAAAUUUUUAAAUUUUGAAAAAGUCUUUAAGAAGGGUAGGUAAGAGGAUGCUUGUUAAUGGUUAGAAAAUAGUUUUAUAUGUUUUAGAACAAAAGAAUAAUAAAAAAAAACAUGCUUAAUGAUUAGAAAACAGUUUAUACUCUUAAAAAACAAAAAAUCGGAGUGUUUUUAGAUAAUAUCUUUUAAUUUUUAAAAUUAUUUUUAUUUAUUGAAAAAUAAUCAUACAAAAUGCAGAAUGAUUAUGAGUAAAGUAUUACAUGUGAAACUUAUUUUUAAAAAAUAUUUAAAAACAUAAAAAAAAAGUUAAUAACAGUUCAAGUUUCCAAACAAACUAUUAUUUUACAAAAUAUUAUAUAAGAAUUUUAAAAAAUAGUUUUAAAAAAUACUUUUCGAACACAGUUUAAAUUUUUUUCUUUUUGUAUAAAAAUUCUUAUAUUUUGUAUAAGGGUUUUUAUUUUUAAAAAUAAAAAAAAUAAGAAAUAUAUUCAAAGAUAUUUAAUAAACAAUAAGAAUUCAAAAGAGAAAGCCUUAAAUUUUAUGUUAUUAUUGUAAAAUGAGAAUAAAUGUGACUCAAAUAAUAGUAGGGAUGACUAUGUAUUACUUUAAUAAUAUAUAUAUAUAUAGAGGGGGAGGGGGGAAGAAAUCAAAGAGAAGUGUUGAGAGAAUGAAAGAAAGAGAUAGAGAGAAUGAGAGGAAGAAAAUUUCUUUCUUUUUCUCGGGAUGCUCUUACAUGGGGUAUAAGAAGCCUUUUAUAGGAUUCAUAAUAUGAACUCCCAUUACUCAUCUUAAAGAUGAGUAAAUGGAGUUCAUAAAUGACCAUCAAUGUGGUCAUUUAUCACUUCAUUUACAACAUUCCCCCUUGGAUGACCACCUUAUUAAAAGAAUAUGUCUCAUUAAAACCUUGCUAGUAAAAAAUUUUAUAGGAAAAACCUAGCGAAGGAAAAAGAGUAUAAUAUUCUUUUCUUGGUAUAUUAGGACUGCCUCGUUAAAAACCUUGCCAAUAAAACCCAGUAGGACAAAACCUGGACGAAUGAAAAAAGAGUACAGUAUACUAACACCCUUUUACAAGCAUACUCCCUCUCAUGUCGAUAUCCUUGAGUUGACGCAUUCCAAUCAUAUAUAUUAAUUUCUUGAAUGUUGAGGUUGACAAUGAUUUUGUGAAUAAAUCUGCUAGAUUAUCACUUGAGCGUAUUUGUUGCACAUCAAUUUCACCACUCUUCUAGAGUUCAUGUGUACAAAAGAAUUUUGGUGAAAUGUGUUUAGUUCUAUCUCUUUUAAUAUAACCCCCUAUUAUUUGUGUAAUGCAUGUAGCAUUAUCUUCAAAUAAUAUUGUCGGGUCACCUUUGAUAGAGGAGAGUCCACAUGAUUCCCGAAUAUGCUGGACCAUAGAUCUUAGCCUUAUACAUUGAUGACUUGCUUCAUGAAUUGCCAGUAUUUCUGAAUGAUUUGAUGAUGUGGUCACCAUUAUUUGUUUGACAUCUUUCCAUGAAAUAGUAGUACCAUUGCAAUUAAACACAUACCCUAUUUGUGACCUACCUUUAUGUGGAUCUGAAAGAUAUCCUGCAUCUGCAUAUCCAAGCAAUUGUUGCUUUGAUUCCGUUGAGUAAAAUAAACCCAUAUCAAUAGUUCCGCAAAGAUAACAUAAUAUAUGUUUGAUACCAUUUCAAUGUCUUCGAGUUGGAGUGGAACUGUAUCUUGCUAAUAAAUUGACAGAAAAAGCAAUGUCUGGACGUGUACAAUUGGCAAGAUACAUAAGUGCACCAAUAGUACUAAGAUAUGGUACUUCAGGACCAAGUAACUCUUCAUUUUUUUCGCAAGGACGAAAUGAGUCAUUUUUCACAUCAAGUGAUCGGACAACCAUUGGAGAACUUAAAUGAUGCGCUCUAUUCAUAUAAAAGCGCUUCAAAAAUUUCUUAAUGUAUGUUGAUUGAUGUACUAAAACUCAAUUUGGAAAAUGCUCGAUCUGCAGGCCGAGAUAAAAUUUUGUUUUUCCAAGAUCUUUCAUCUCAAAUUCCUUUUUCAAGUAAUUUGUUGUUCUUGUGAGUUCUUCAGGAGUUCCAACAAGAUUUAAGUCAUCGACAUACACUGUAAUAAUUGCAAAUCCGAUUUCUGAUUUCUUAAUGAAGAUGCAUGGGCAUGUAGGGUUAUUCACAUAUCUUUUUUUUUAGCAAAUAUUCGCUAAGACGAUUGUACCACAUGCGUCCAAAUUGCUUUAAUCCAUACAAGGAUCGUUGUAACUUGAUUUAGUACAUGCUAUGAGACUUUGUACUAUUUUCUCCAGGCAAUUUAAAUCCUUUAGGGAUUUUCAUGUAUAUAUCAUUAUCCAUGGAUUCGUAUAAAUAUGCUGUAAUAACAUCCAUGAGAUGCAUAUCCAAUCCUUCUGAGACUGCCAAACUAAUUAAGAAACGAAAUGUGAUUGCAUCCAUGACAGGAGAAUAUGUUUUCUCGUAGUCAAUACUAGGUCUCUACGAGAAACCUUGUGCUACUAAUCGCGCUUUAUAUUUUAUGAUAUCAUUAUUCUCAUUGCGCUUUCGUACAAAUACCCAUUUGUACCCAAUAGGCUUUACAUCCUCAGGUGUUUGGACUACAGGUCCAAAAACUUCUCGUUUUGUUAACGAGUUUAACUCUGCUUGUAUAGUUUCUUUCCAUUUUAGCCAAUCAUUUCUAUGUCGACAUUCUUCCAUAUUUCGUAGUUCGGGAUUUUCAUCAUUUCUUAUGACUUCAUAGGCCACUUGGAAAGCAAAAAUAUUGUUAAUAACAAUAUUAUUUUGAUCCCAUUUUUCUCCCGUGUGUACAUAACUUACUAAGAUCUCACAAUUUUCAGGUACCUAUGCCUCUUUAGGGGCUUCUCGUUCAAUAUGUGGCUCUUCAUGGGCUUCUUGUUCAAUAUGUACCUCUUCAGGGGCUUUCUGUAUUAUUUAUGCCUCUUCUAGGGUUAUAAAUUUAUCAAUUUUAAAUUGAUCAGUCAUUUUGAUGACCUCUUCUAGAGUGCCAAGUUUUUCUUGGGUUCUCAUUUCUGGGAAGAUACAUUCUUUGAGCCAACAAGUUUACCACAUUUCAGGCGUAUCUUAGAUUCAUUUGUUAACUGUCCUACAGGGACAUCGAUCUGUGCUGAGUAUUUGCAGCCGGGAUAUAUGACUUUGUCACUUUCUUUGUAUUAAUGAAUGCAUAUGGUAAUUGAUUUGCAAGAUUUUGCAAAUGAAUGAUCCUUUGGAAGAUGGGUCAUAGUAGAUGCCUUCCAACUAAUUUCUCAUCGUUCUUUAGAAAUUGACUUUUCUCCCCUCUAAUGACUGGAAAACACUCUCAUUAAAAUGACAAUCCGCAAAGCGGGCAGUAAAAACAUCACCUGUUAAAGGUUCAAGAUAUCUUAUGAUAGAUGGAGAAUCAAAACCUACAUAAAUCCCAAGUCUUCGUUGGGAACCCAUUUUAGUGCGUUGUGUAGGUGCAAUUAGUACAUAAACUGCACAACCAAAGAUUUGUAAGUGAGAGAUAUUUGGUUGUUUUCCAAGCACAAGUUGUGAAGGGGAGUAUUCAUGGUAAGUUGUAGGUCAAAUACGGAUUAAAGCUGCAGCAUGCAUAAUAGCAUGUCCCUAGGCAGAAGUAGGUAAUUUGGUUCUCAUUAGUAAUGGUCGAGCUAUUAAUUGGAGAUGUUUGAUGAAGGAUUCUGCUAAACCAUUUUGGGUAUGAGUAUGAGCAACAAGAUGCUCAAUAUUUAUCCUUAUUGACAUGCAAUAGUCAAUGAAUGUUUGAGAAGUAAAUUCGCCAGCAUUAUCAAGACGUAUUGUCUUAAUUGGAUAAUCUAGAAAUUGUGCUCGUAAUCUGAUUAUUUGUGCAAGGAGUCUAGCAAAGGCAACGUUACGUGUAGAAAGGAGACAAACAUGUGACCACCUAGUAGAAGCAUAUAUUAAGAUCAUAAAAUAACGGAAUGGUCCACAUGGUGGAUGGAUAGACCCACAUAUGUCCCUAUGUAUUCUUUCUAAAAAGACUGGUGACUCAGAUUGACUUUAGUAAAAGAUGGUCUCAUUAUCAAUUUACCUUGUGAGCAGGCAACACAUGAGUAUUCAUUGGGUGAAAGAAUCUUCUAGUUCUUUAGUGGAUGUGCAUGUGAGUGUUCGAUUAUUCGACGCAUCAUUGAAGACCCUGGGUGACCUAGCCUGUCAUGCCAAAGGACAAAAACUUUUGGGUCGUUGAACUUCUGGUUCACGACAACAUAUGAUUCAAUAGGCUUUAUAGUUGUAUGAUACAACCCAGAUGAGAAAUUCGAGAGUUUUUCCAUUAUAAGCUUCUGGCCAGAUAUAAUGGAAGUAAUGUAAAUAUAUUCUAUAUUAUCUUCAUUCAUAGUUUCAAUAUGAUAUCCAUUUUUGCGGAUAUCUUUAAAACUGAGCAAAUUUCUUCUGGAUUUGCUAGAAUAUAAAGCGUCAUUUAUAUGGAAUCUAGUUCCAUUUGGCAACGUUAUGUUUGCUCUUCCAGAACCUUCAACUAAGUUUGUAGUACCAGAUAUGGUACUUACAUUAGCUUUUAUUAAUGUCAAUUCAAGAAAAUAUCUUUUAUCUAGAAGAAUUGUAUGCGUGGUCGCACAGUCUACGAGACAUACAUCAUCCUCAUUCAUCUUGAGACCAAAUAACACAUGGAUUUCAGAUAUAACAAAAUAAAACAAGGCAUAAUGUAAAUAACAAAGUAAAUCAGAUGUAAAUAUAAGACAUAAUAAUAUAUUAUUUCAUAUAUAAAGUAACAUCAAUCAAUGUUAAUUUUCUCAUCAUUUAUCAAAUGGUCUGUUUUUUCAUUGGGACCUCCAAAGAAAUCAAUGUUAUAGUAGGUUAGGUCUAAUCCAUCACCAUCGGUAAAGUUCAUCUCUAUCUCUUUUCUUUUUGCUUUUAUUGAUGCUUGGUAAAGGUCGACUAAAUGUUUGGGCAUACGACAGGUACGCGACCAAUGCCCCUUCAUACCACAUCUAUAACAAUUAUUCUCGUGGUUCUUAGGAGGUUUAUCUUGUAAAUACUUCCCAUUUUAUUGUAUUGUCUCAGUAUUGUUCCAUUUCUGGUGGUGCAAUGAGGCUUUCAUUUUCUGAGAAUUAUUACUAUAAGAACCAUGGUAUCGGGGAUUUCUUCCACGAUCACGACCACGUCCACGAGUUUGGGACGAUAUUGCAUUGUUCAGAUCUAGUUGGACGAGAUUGGUGAUUUCUCAUCAAAAUCUCAUUAUUUUGUUUAGCAACAAGAAGACAUGAUAUUAAUUCAGAAUAUUUUGUAAAUCUACGCUCUCGUUAUUGCUGCUACAAGAGCACAUUCGAGGUAUGAAACGUAGUAAAAGUUUUCUCUAACAUGUCUUCUUCUGUGAUUUUUUCUCCACACAGCUUUAAUUGAGAGUUGAUUUUGAAAAGUGCGGAGUUGUAUUCACUAACAGUUUUAAAAUCUUGCAACCUUAGGUGCAUUCAAUCAUAUCGAGCUUUUGGGAGAAUCACAGUUUUCUGGUGGUCAUAUAUUUCCUUCAAAUUACUCCAUAGAGUAAAAAAGUCCUUUACCAUAAGAUACUCAUUUUUUAAAGCUUCAUGGAAGUGAUGGCGAAGGAAAAUCAAUGCUUUUGCGCGAUUCUGCAGGGAUGCUUGAUUUCUUUCUUUGAUUGUAGCUCCAAGGUUCAUUGCAUCAAGAUGUAAUUCAGCAUCAAGGAUCCAAGAUGGAUAGUUCUUUCCCAAAAUGUCAAGUGCCACAAAUUCGAGUUUUGUGAUAGUCGACAUUGUCAAAUAACUUCAUAUAUAUGACAAAACAAUAUUAUUAGAAUCAAUUAUAAUAACUUGAUAGCAUUGGUAUAACUUUGAUUAUAAACAAAAUCAAAUAAUUUGUUUAUAACUUUUAACAAUAUGUAACAAAACAAAUCAACAAUAAUAUAACUAUGUAAAAUUUUAUCCUAUAUAAAUAACUUCAGGUUUAAGAUACGAGAAUUACCUUCAAAGCAAUUCGUGCUGAUAACGUGUUGUAAAAGGAGAAUAAAUGUGACUCAAAUAAUAGUAGGGAUGACUAUGUAUUACUUUAAUAAUAUAUAUAUAUAUAUAUAUAGAGGGAGGAGGAGGAGGAGGAGGAGGAGGAGGGGGGAGGGGGGGGGGGGGGGACCAAAACAAAAAAAAAUGUUGGGAAAAUGAAAAAAAAAAAGAGAAAGAAUGGGAGGAAAAAAAUUUUUUUUUUUUUUUCAGGAUGCUCUAACAUGGGGGGGAAAAAGCCUUUUAUAGGUUUUCUAAUAAGAACUCCCCUUACUCCUCUUAAAAAUGAGUAAAUGGAGUUCAUAAAAGACCCUCAAUGUGGUCCUUCCUCACUUCCUUUUCAACAAUUAUUAAUUUUUUGUAUUACUUAAAAGGGNNNNNNNNNNNNNNNNNNNNNNNNNNNNNNNNNNNNNNNNNNNNNNNNNNNNNNNNNNNNNNNNNNNNNNNNNNNNNNNNNNNNNNNNNNNNNNNNNNNNGGGAGGGGGGGGGGGGGGGACGAAAUCAAAGAGAAGUGUUGAGAAAAUGAAAGAAAAAGAGAGAGAGAAUGAGAGGAAGAAAAUUUCUUUCUUUUUCUCAGGAUGCUCUAACAUGGGGUGUAAGAAGCCUUUUAUAGGUUUCAUAAUAUGAACUCCCAUUACUCAUCUUAAAGAUGAGUAAAUGGAGUUCAUAAAUGACCAUCAAUGUGGUCAUUCAUCACUUCAUUUACAACAGUUAUUAAUUUGUUGUAUUACUUAGAGGGGGUGAAUGAAUUGAAAGCACUAUGGAGGUAAGCUUUUUAGUCUUUUCACCUUAUCCUUUUUAUACAUAAUGUCUCCAUCAAUGAUGUUCAGUAUAUUCCUUAUUUUUGUUUUACUCAAGUGUUCCUGUAUUGUAGCCCUCUCAAGACUCUUCCUCUUCACUCCAAACAAGUUAAUUGUCUUCAUAUCAAAGUAACAUAAGUUGAUUUUCUUAGAGGGCUAAUGCUACUUAUGUGAUUAUUUCUUUUACAAAAGUUGCAAAUAGUACUAUUUGAGGAUUCCUUGACAAAAUAAUUUUUAAAUUUUAAUUUUUUUAUUUUUUAUUUUUAUAGAGCUUGUAUCCUAAUCCCUUUAUGCCAAAGAUUAUUUUUUUACUUGCCAAAAUUAUCAAAAUUCUUGUCCCCAUUUGAGAAUUUUGAAAGAGAAGAGAUUAACUAAUGAAUUUUCUUUUCAAGUAAGUAUAUAUUUUAUUCCAAGGAAAACCUUAGCCUUUUUCAGAUAUUUUAAACUCCCAUUUUAAGUUAUUAAUUUCAACUUGAAGAGAGAUGAUUUUCUUUUUAAGAUAAGCCUGAAAGUUAUUUGAUCUAGUUUAGGUAACACCUAGAGGAGUUGAAUGGGUGUUUAAAAUUUUCUGCUUAAAAAUGAAUUAUUUUAUAAUCAUAUAACAAACAUUUUUUCAAUUUAGGAAAGCCUAAAAACACUCAAUACAAAAACAUAAGAUUUUUAUAUGGAAAACCACCCAUAUCAUGUGCGGAUGUAAAAACGACAAAGUCAGACUUUUAAUCAUUAAUUAACUAUUUGAAAGUAUUAUACAUGGUUUUAGUUGGUGGAAGCUAUCGUUAAGUCUUAUUACCCAACACCUACAAUGCACUUCACAUUUGCGAUAUAGCACUACAUGUGCUCUUAGUGGAUCUAACCUCAGUGCUUGAGAGGAUGUAGAUCUCCUUUUCAAUCCAACAUAAGCGAAAACAACAUUCCUUAAGAGUUUUAGGAAUAAGAUGACGAAUUUGGUUUUUCAAAAAAUUUGCAUCAAACCAAAAACCUUUUUAGGUAAAACAUUUAUAGGCAUAAGAAGCUAGCGGACUGGAUCUACAAUUUUCCAAAAUAAGACCUUAAAAAAAUUUAGAAAAUCAAAGUUCCAAAAACUUUGGAGAAUUCUAUCAUGGGUGUUUGAGUGCUCAUGGGAGCACUUGAGUGCUUAUGGAGAUUUUUUAAACUUUUUAAAAAUUCUUUUAGCUCAGUUUUAAAACCCUUAGUUCGCACUAUGCCUUAACAAACACCAAUUUGUCAUUCUUGAACCUUUUGAUUUUUAGUUGUGCCAUCUCGAUUGAUCACAUAACAACUUUGAGUCUUCAAUGAAGAGUAAAACACAAUUAGAAAGAUUCUAAACUAGAAUGAAAGGAACAAAAUUGUUGAUCUUAAAUUAUAUAGCCUAAUAUACCAACAAUCUCCUAUGAUAAUUUUAUGAAAAAAAAUACAAAUUACAUAAACCCCCUAAUACUCUUUAAUGGAGUUUAAGAAUUUCUCAAUAACUCUCGUCUAAACCAAAUCAUUCUUGAACAUACAGAUGAUGAUAAAUCACAUCUAAAAGUGGGCAAUACCCCACUACUUGUGACCUGCACACACAAACCAACCAAGUACCCAAGUAAAACAAUGUGUGAGAGAAAACACAACUCAAAUUCUAUCAAAUCAAGGUAAGAGUAGAUGGAUGUGAGUCAUGCAUACAAUGGAUAUCUAAUCAAUAGUAUCAAUAAAUUGUCUCCCCGUUUUUGUCGCAAAAAUGACAAAGAAGGAAUAAACAAUGAAUGCACAUAAGAGAAAGAGAAAUAAUUAAGCAAAAGAACUUCAACUUAUUUUUAGAAUGCUUCUUUCUUGGUAAGAUCUCUUAAGAAACCCUUCUUGAAAAUAGAAUUUUUUUUUUGUUUUGUUUUUUAUGAUGGAAAAUUGCUUUCUACCUUAAAAACUAUAUUUGGUAAAAUUUCACUAAAAUAAGUUUUUGAAAAUAGGUUAUUUUUUUGGAACAAAAGCUUUUAAAUAUCUAUAUAUAUAUAUAUAUAUAUUGUAGAAUAUUUCAAGAAAUAGUUGAAAAUAUGAAAAAUGUUUCGAGAACCUUUGUAUUUUAGAUUUGUGCACUUCAAUUUCAUGAACAAUAUUAAACUAAGAAAACUGUUUUUUAUAUACUAAUUUCUAAAUAAAAUUUUGUUGCUGGAAAUAACUAAAAUUUAUUUUAAAAAACUAUUUUUUAAGAAUUAUUUUUGAAAACGUUGCUAAAAAGACAAAAGUCCUUGGUCAUUUUUUUUUUCUUUUAUAUUUUUAUCUUUAUGUAAGAGGCCGGUCUUUUUUUUUUUUUUAAUGUUCCAUAAUCCUUGUGAUAUUGUAACGUGUAAUUCAUUUAUUUGACUUCAAAAGUUAAGAAAUAAUGAACCUUUCAUUAUUGUAGUUUGUCUUGUAGUAAGAGACUUAAAAAUCCAUGUACAAGAGGUCUUCGUUUCUUAAGUCAAGUCAACAAAAUGGAGGUGGAAGAAAUAAUGAACUUUCAUUAUUGUAGUUUGUCUUGCUAAAAGCCAUGUAUAACGGGUCUUCUUUUCUUAAGUCAAGUCAAUAAAUCAAAUUAAAAGAAAUAAUAAACUUUUAUUAUUGUAUUUUAUUUUGUAGCAAGAGACUUAAAAAACCAUGUAUAACAAGUCUUCCUUUCUUAAGUCAAGUCAAUAAAUCAAAUUAAAAGAAAUAAUAAAUUUUCAUUAUUGUACUUUGUUCUUGUAGCAAGAGACUUAAAAAUCCAUGUAAGAGGUCUUCAUUUCUUAAGUCAAGUCAAGUCAAUAAAUCGAAUCGGAAGUUUUUCCUUUUUUUUUUUUUUAAACCAACUUCUACUAUUACUUUUAUUAGUUAUUUUGAUCAUUUGAUUAAAUAUUGAAUUAUUAUUAUUUUUUAAAAAUUUUCAAGUACAAACCAUUUCAUGUUAAAAAAUUUAAAGUGGAUGUAACUUUCUUUUCAAGUUAAGAUAUCUUGAUUAAGGGAUAAAUAAUGGAUUGCAAUAUUUCAACUUUAAUUAAGUUAAUUUAUCAAUAUUCAAAUUAAGUUGGAGAAAAAAAAAAAAAAAAAGACAACACCUCAAUUUUAGUUUUCCAUUACACAUGAUUAUUUCUUUUUCUUCUUUUUCCUUUGCUUCUUUAACACGCAAUGAGAGCUCUAGUCAUCAUACCUUUCAAGACUCUAAACUUACAAAAAUUUUCAGUCUUUUCAUCGUAUCUUUUAAAAUUCUUGACACUCAUAAAGUAUUUAAGACUUAAUUUUAAUAAAUUCAUAUUUUUACAACUAUAACUAAGAGCUUUGACCUAUUAAAAAAAUGAAUAAAAAAUACUUUGCAAGACAUUAAAAGUUCAUAAUUAUUUCUUUUACCUUAAAUGUAGUUGUUAUGUGUUUGCUAGUUCACAUAUUUGAGCGUGGACCGUGGCGACCUGCAGACCCGGAGGGGCAGCGUUGUCUAUCAGAUUUUAGAAAAUUCGUGCAACUAGCCAUAUGGUUUUGGACUAAAAUAAAAAAUAAGACUUUAUUUUUGUUAUUUCUUUUAUCAAGAUAUCUUAAUUAAUAAUUCAAAAAUGUUAAUAAUAAAUUAUAAAAGAGAUUUUUGCUACUCUUCGAAAUUAUAAAAAAGUUUAUACACUCAUAAAACAAAUAAUUAAAUGUAUCUUCUAAUAAAUAAAUUUUUAUUAAAAUAAAUAAAUAUAUAUCUACUUUGACUUUAUUAACAUGAAGUAAAUUGUAGGUAUCUUUAAGUUAGAUUUCUUAUUGAUUAAAGAAAAAGACCAUUCAAGGUUUAGCUAGAUGGAAAAAAAAAUUUUAUUUAUUAGAAAAUUCAAUUUUUUUUAUUGAUGAAUCAUUGAUAAUGAUAUAUAAAAAUAAUUUAUAUAUCAUAUAUUAAUAUUACUUUAUAAAUAUUUUUUAGUUUUUCUUUUUUAAUCAUAAAUUUAAUUUAUAAUUAAAAAAAUUAUUUUAUAAAAAAAAAAAAAUUUAUGAUAUAUCGGAUAUACAUAUCUUAUAUCUUAGUAUAAAAUUAACAUAUCUCGUGUAAAAAAAAAUAAAAAAGAGUGAAUAAUAUAUUUCACCACUUAUACUAUCUCAUCAUUAAUUAAAUAUAAAAUUUAAUGUGAUAUCUUCUCUUUUAUCCUAUAUGAUGUUAUAUUUGGUCAAUCAAACAUAACCUAUAAAACUAAAAUUAUAGAAAUGAAAUGCAAGAGACCUUACUGAAAAAUUGAAAGUAAAAUUAUUGAUUUUUGAAAGUAAAUAUUGAUAAUAUUAUAAAAUUUUCAUUAACAUAAAUUAAAAAAUUAAAGGAAAAAAAAACAUAACACUAUCCUCACAAUUCCGUGAUAUUGUUUUUUUCAUAUUAGAAAUCCUUAUAAUCAACUUUCCUGUUUUAAAAAUAAUUUUUAUUACUAAUUUAGAUUAAAAAAAAAAAAAAAAAACCUUUCAACCAACCACACAUGUGACACAUGGUGGUUGUUUUUGAAUUUCAAUAAAAGAUUUUAUAAUUAUUAAGAAAAGAAAAAAAUGUUAAGAAAAAUGAUUAUUUUUAUUUGAUUUUAUUAUGAAAUAUAUGAAAGUAAAAAUAUAUAAUUAAAAUUAAUAAAAAACUAAUAUAUUUUAAAAUUAUUUAAUUUUUAUUUUUAAAAAUUAAAUAAAUAAAAUAAAAUUAAAAAUAAUUUAUUAAUUUUAAAUUUAUUUUUUAUUUCUCUCUCACUUGUUCUUUAAGACGUGUUGCGUGUAAAAUACCAUAAAACAAGUCAUAUCACCAUGCUCAAGAUUUCAACAUGGUAGGUGUAGGUUUUGAAGACUUUUCCAUGUGAUUAACACUUGGAUACCUGAAUUUUCUUUGGGUGGGGUUGGGCUUCUGUAAGUUUCUCUGCAAUUUUCUCCUACUUGGAAACAAAGGAAUGGUCAAAGAGAGGAACUCAGUGAAGAGAAGAUUGAAACGGACUGGAUACACCCUCGCCUGCUUCGAAGGUUGGUAUGAUCUUCACGGUUGGUAGGCCUUCUCAAGUCUCCAUGCAUGCCUCAUUUUUCCCAUAUGAUAAAUCAAUGGUCGGAAGAGCGAGCUUAACACGAACAAACAUGAUAAAAUCAUUAAAUUUUUGGAAUAAUAAUAUGAUGAAGUUAAUAAAUGAUAAGGAUUAGGAAGAUGUUUAAUGAAAUUUUAAAUUAAUAAUAAUUAGAUGUAUUUAACCUAAACUUUUGGAGAGAUUAAUGAAAUUAAUCAUAUAAAAAUUUCUUUAAUUUUAAUUUUAGAAUAAAUAUUAACAAUAUUUUUUUCAAAUAUAAAUAAUAAUAUUUGGAAAACAUCAUCAGUAAAUUGCCUUUUCAAUUUUUUCUCUAAUUGUCAUUUUAAAUGAAUAUUAAAAUCCUUUUAGUAAAAUUUAUGAAUUUAGUAAAAUAUUAAUAUCUAUAUUUUAUAAUUUUUAAUAAAGUUUUAUCAUUUUUAAUAUAAAAAAAAUUAUAUAAGUUGUGUUUGUCUUAUUAGUAUCACUAUUUACAAAAUUUAUCUUUAUAUUAUUUAUUUUAAAAAUUAUUAUUUAUUAAGAAUCAUUUUUAUAAAAGGUAAAACAUAAUUAUCAUAUAAAUAUAAAUUAAAAGUGGAGGUUAUAUUUGUUAAUUAUUUUUAAAAAGGGAUUUCAAAACAUUACUUCUCCAAAAAUAACAAUAAUAAUAAUAUAAACACAAUAUUGACUCAAAAUAUUAUGUGAAUGAAAAACUUAAAAAUAAUAUAUAUUUGUUUUUUAAAAAAUAUUUUGUCAUAAUUAAAGGUCAUCUACUCAACAUGUUGGUGGGAAUGGUAUAUAAGUCAAUGCCUGCUUUGCUCACAAAUCAAAAACCAAAACUUGCUAAUCCUUGUUAUUACACACUAUCCUUGCUCUGUGUUGAACAUGGCUACAAGCCCCUUUCGAUAUUUUAUUUCCCUUUUUCUGCUUUUGCUCUGUUUCGAAGCCUGUUUGAGGGUGGGUGAUGCUAAAGUUGGGUGCAGAGAGAGGGAGAGGCAAGCUCUCCUUCACUUCAAACAAGGUGUUGUCGAUGACGAUGGAGUGCUUUCUUCAUGGGGGAAUGGGGAAGACAAAAGAGAUUGUUGCAAAUGGAGAGGAGUCAAGUGUAACAACCAGACGGGUCAUGUGAUCAGGCUUGAUCUUCAUGCCCAAUCUUUGGGAGGUAAGAUUGGUCCUUCAUUGGCAGAGUUGCAGCACUUGAAGCAUUUGAACCUCAGCUCGAAUGAUUUUGAAGGUAAUUAUAUACAUAUAUACCUUGUGAAAAUUCAUCAGUUUGUCUCAGCAGAAUAUAAUUCUCUCUUUUCCCAAUUUUACAGGAAUUCUUCCCACUCAACUCGGUAAUCUUUCCAACUUGCAAUCCCUUGAUCUUGGCUAUAAUUAUGGGGAUAUGACCUGUGGAAACCUUGACUGGCUUUGUCACCUUCCUUUCUUAACACACCUUGACUUGAGUUGGGUUAAUCUUAGUAAAGCAAUCCAUUGGCCCCAAGCAAUUAAUAAAAUGCCUUCCCUAACUGAGUUAUACUUGAUUGAUACUCAGCUUCCUUCGAUUAUUCCAACAAUAUCCAUUUCCCAUAUUAAUUCUUCUACUUCUCUUGCUGUGCUUCAUCUCCCCUCGAAUGGUCUCACUUCUUCAAUAUACCCAUGGUUGUUCAACUUCAGUAGCAGCCUUGUUCAUCUUGACCUCUCUUGGAAUGAUCUAAAUGGUUCAACUCCGGAUGCUUUUGGAAACAUGACUACUCUGGCAUAUCUUGAUCUCUCUUCGAACGAGCUACGUGGUUCAAUUCCGGAUGCUUUUGGAAACAUGACUACUCUGGCAUAUCUUGAUCUCUCUUGGAACAAGCUACGUGGUUCAAUUCCGGAUGCUUUUGGAAACAUGACUAGUCUGGCAUAUCUUGAUCUCUCUUUGAAUGAACUUGAAGGUGAGAUUCCAAAAUCCUUGACAGAUUUAUGUAAUUUACAGGAAUUAUGGUUGUCUCAGAACAAUCUCACUGGACUGAAGGAAAAAGAUUAUCUGGCCUGCCCUAAUAACACAUUAGAGGUUUUAGAUUUAUCUUAUAAUCAAUUGAAAGGGUCAUUUCCCAAUCUUUCUGGAUUUUCACAGUUGAGAGAAUUAUUUCUUGAUUUCAAUCAACUAAAGGGAACUUUACAUGAAAGUAUUGGACAACUAGCUCAACUUCAACUGUUGUCCAUUCCUUCAAAUUCAUUGCGAGGCACUGUCUCCGCAAACCACCUUUUUGGUCUCUCCAACCUGUCUUACUUAGACUUAUCUUUCAACUCCCUUACAUUCAACAUAAGCCUUGAGCAAGUUCCCCAGUUUCGAGCCUCAAGUAUACUAUUGGCCUCUUGCAAAUUAGGCCCACGUUUUCCUAAUUGGCUUCAAACUCAAGAAGUUUUGAGCGAACUUGAUAUCUCUGCUUCUGGAAUUUCAGAUGUCAUUCCCAAUUGGUUUUGGAAUUUAACUUCAGAUUUAAAUUGGUUAAACAUUUCCAACAAUCACAUCUCGGGCACUUUGCCCAAUUUACAAGCAAGGUCUUAUUUGGGAAUGGAUAUGAGUUCAAAUUGCUUGGAAGGUUCAAUACCACAAUCUGUUUUCAAUGCUAGAUGGUUGGAUCUCUCCAAGAACUUGUUUUCAGGCUCAAUUUCUUUAUCGUGUGGGACUCCUAAUCAGCCUAGUUGGGGUUUGUCUCAUCUUGACCUCUCAAAUAAUCGACUAUCAGGAGAACUACCCAAUUGUUGGGAGCAGUGGAAAGAUUUAAUUGUUCUUGAUUUGGCAAAUAAUAAUUUUUCUGGGAAAAUUAAAAAUUCGAUUGGCUUGUUACAUCAGAUGCAAACAUUGCAUUUAUGUAACAAUAGUUUUACUGGAGCACUGCCUUCGUCCUUAAAGAACUGCAGAGCUUUGCGUCUUAUAGAUUUGGGAAAAAAUAAAUUGUCAGGAAAAAUAACCGCAUGGAUGGGAGGAAGCCUGUCAGAUUUGAUCGUUCUCAACCUAAGAUCUAAUGAAUUUAAUGGAAGCAUACCUUCAAGUCUUUGUCAACUGAAACAGAUUCAAAUGUUGGACCUCUCUAGCAACAAUCUAUCAGGAAAGAUACCAAAAUGUCUCAAAAAUUUAACUGCCAUGGCUCAAAAAGGAAGUCCGGUCCUUUCUUACGAAACAAUUUACAAUUUGAGUAUCCCAUAUCACUAUGUUGAUAGUACAUUGGUUCAAUGGAAAGGAAAAGAACAAGAGUACAAGAAAACUCUUAGAUUCAUUAAGAGCAUUGAUUUUUCAAGAAACCAAUUAAUUGGUGAAAUUCCAAUAGAAGUAACUGAUUUGGUAGAAUUGGUGUCUUUGAAUUUAUCAAGAAACAAUUUGAUUGGAUCAAUCCCUACAACAAUUGGUCAAUUGAAAUUAUUGGAUGUUCUUGAUCUAUCUCAAAACCAACUUAAUGGUAGAAUUCCGGAUACUCUUUCUCAAAUAGCCGAUCUAAGUGUUUUAGACCUAUCAAAUAACACCUUGUCAGGUAAAAUUCCAUUAGGCACUCAAUUACAAAGCUUUGAUGCCUCCACAUAUGAGGGAAAUCCUGGACUUUGUGGACCACCUCUUUUGAUAAGGUGUCCUGAAGAUGAACUUGGGGGAGUCUCCUUCACUAGUGGUCUUAGUAGUAAAAAAGAGGACAUUCAAGAUGAUGCAAAUAAUAUAUGGUUUUAUGGAAAUAUUGUUCUUGGAUUCAUCAUCGGAUUUUGGGGAGUUUGCGGCACUUUACUAUUCAAUAGUUCAUGGAGAUAUGCCUAUUUCCAAUUGUUGAGCAAGAUAAAGGAUUGGUUGUACAUGACAACAAUAGUAAAUAUGAAUAGAAUACGAAGGAGCCUGCAAGGUUAAAUGGUAAGACUUCUCAAAUUCUCUUUUUAGUUUUUCUGGUAAAAUGUGUUAACUUCUAUUUAUUAUCCAACAGUUAAGAAUAAAAAGUACACUUUAUGCUACUACUCAAAUCCCUCUUCUAUUAUUUGAUUGACCUUCCACAAUAUAUUGAUGAAAGCUUAGAUUUUGCAAAUAGAAGCAUCGAUAAAAUAAGCAAGCGUAGAAGAUUUUAAUAUACUUUUUUGUAAUAGUUGUGCAUAUUUAGCUUUCAUCAUGUAAAGAUUAAUCUUAUAGGCCGAGGAUCAUAGUUGAAGAAUGAUUAUUUGUAUUUUUAUUUCUAUCUUACUUCAAGUUACAAUUUUUUCUUUUAAAUGUUAAGUUAAUUUGUUGUCUUCAAAUAUUAUAAGUACAUUAAAAGUUCAAUUGUAAGUAACAUACUAAAACCUUCAUUUCUACUAAUCAAGAAGAGUCGCAACUAAGAAAUUAUUCCAAAUUGAUGAGCGUUGUUGCAUUUCAUCUUUGUAUUACAGGACUUCAGCUGGGUUGCAUCUCAAGGAUUAGUAGGUGAUAUAUGCUUUUGAGUAACGGGAGUAUUUAUGAUGGGAUAGUUACAUGCCUUAAUGCAAAAGCUUGUCAUCGGAUAAAUGACAUCAACAUGUAUUAAGUUUGCUUAUUUGGUAGUUAGCUUGGCUUUAAGUUUCUCGUGUUAUAUUCUAUUUAGAACUUUUUAAACAUUAAUUUUUGCUAUUAUAUGUACGACUUUGUAUUUUGUUGCUCUAAAAUUUAUUUGUUAUUUUUGUAGAAUCAAAUAUUAGAGGCCUUUGUAGGGGGUGCUAAAAAAAUACUUCAUCUUAGAAAAAUAUUUUUUUUUUUGCUCAAAAACAAAGUUUAUUUUUUGGGAAAUGCAAUGUGAUAAUACCCAUUAGUAUGAAAUGUGGGAUAUGCUACUACUGAAAACAGAGCACUCUGUUUUUUUGGUGCUCAAGCAUGAAAGCUCCUGUAACACAGAGAGGUCUGAUUUCCAACCGUGAAUCAAAUUGCUUAAGGUACUCCAUAUGCAGAUUGCUGGAAGUCACUUUGGGCAUCAAUCAUCUUCAAGGGACGAUGAUGAUGGGAAUUGGAUCAACGGCGGUAAAGACCAACUAUGGAAAGUUUGCUAAAAAGCUCCCAUUUCUUUAUUUUGGUUUCUGCUUUUGUAAAUAACAAUGUUAUCCAAAAUUUGUGUUGGUUGCUCAAGUUUUGUAAAAGCUAUUCAACCAAUACAAAUCGCUACAUAAUAUGCAUUUUGCCGAAGAUCUGUGAUGAUUUGGAGCUCUCUCCAAUGCCAUACCAGGUUACAACUGAAACAAGCAUCUUAUUUAGGAAUAGUUAACAACAACGAAGAACUGCAAUUUAUAUUUGUGUUUUUUGUUCCACUGAAUAUUGCAGUAAUCAACUUAUGGAAGAAGUUGGAGCUGUUGGAGAAGAAAGUGCUCUUCAUGUUUGCUCAAACAAUUCAGAGGGAAGUUUAGCUUUUGCUUUGGUAGUUGUGAAGUUGCAAACUGUUAUUAGAAUAAGAAGCCUCUACUUUUGCUUGUUACUGAAUAUGAAUUUUUUUUUUAAGAAGUAAAUUUGCUAAUUAUUGUUCUUUUUCUUAGGCACCCAAGAAAAGAGUAUGUACUUUUAGCAAAGACCAAGAGGAAACUAUUAGAGCUUCAUUUGAGCAGUGAGUGCUUAAUUUGUUCUUUUUUGUGGCAUAUGCAUGUAGUCUUAAAUUUGAUUUCCCUCUGCAUAAUUGAUGCUGAAUAUUGUGAUUUUGGAAAGAUUAAUGCUAGUCUCCUUUUCGUCUUUUAAAUUAAAUUAGAUUUGUUUACGUAUAGGUUUAAAGACCAUAAAAGGUGCACCUACAUGAUUGUAAGUGCUCUAGAUGGUGAUGGUACGUUCACAGCUGCCCAAGUUUCCCAUAAGCUCAAGCAACAAUUUGCUUGUGUUCCUCAUCAAAAAAAGAGUUGAAGACAACUUGCAUUUGAGAGAUGAAGAUCUUAAUGGUUGUGAUAUAGCCAAAGCACAGGAUUCCAAUGAUGAAACAUUGUUUUCACUAAGAAAAAGGUAACUAUAUCUUUAUGAAUUUCAUGCAAUUUUGUGAAUUAAUCUUAUUUGUGUGAUAUCCCACAUCGAAUGAGGGGAAAACUAUUAUAUAUACAUAUAUAGGUUCUCUUAGACACGUUUUAAAACUCAUGAGGGCCCCUUAAGCCCAUAAUAGAUAAUAACUACAUAGUUAGCAGUGGAUCGUUAUAGCUUGUAUGCAAACUUUAUCACAUACUUGCAUCUUUGUGGUUGCAGACUUGUAGUGUAUUUGCAUUUGCUUGCAUUUGUCAAGUACUAUACUUUGGUGAUGAAAUCAUAAAUUCAUGACACUCAAGACUUAAUCCAAUUGACAUGUUUUUUUUUUUACUAAAUACAAUAACUAAUUCUUAAGUUAUAAAUUAUAUCACCAAAUUAUUUUUUUACAAUAUAUAGUUUAUUUCAAAUUUUAUUUUAUUUUUCUUCACCUCUUAGGUUUAUCACUUUACAUUACAAAAUAAAAUAAAUUGCAAUUUCCCUUUUCACAAGAUUUUUAUUUUUACAAAAUAUUCAAUAUUUUCCAACUUUUAUAAAAUAAUUUCCGAAAUUAUAUAAUCGGCUGUUAUAAAGAUUUUAAAUUUUUGUGUUGUCAUGGGAUUAUUUUGUUGGCAUGCUUGACCCAGUUGGUAACUUAGGUUUUUUUUUUUUUUUUAAUUCGCCUGACCUUCACAUGUGGCCUAUUACCAUUGGUGGAAAAUUGUGGGUAAGGUGAGAUUUCGGUACCCAAGCUUGACCAUAUAUAUCUGUGAAUUACGCAGAAGACUCGAAAAGUCAAAGGAAAAAUCCUGGGAACCAAGCUGGAAAACACAGGACUGUUAUUUCAGGGAAGGUGUACGUUUGGGGGCAUAUUACAGCUUGGGUACUGAACAAGAGGCAUGUAAGAAGUCUGGCCAUGGAUGCAGAAGAAGAAAAGCAAAGUAAAACCCACAUCCAUGGACAGUUGGUAGAGAUAAACCACAAUCAGGAGAAACGAAUACGCCACGAAGAAACAAAGGCACAGAAUCUGACAACUGGGUUUGCGGUCGUCCAAGUUUUAAUUCUCAACACACUGGUGAUCAACAAGCCAUCCGGCAGAUGCGAACACUGGUGGGUGCCAUUCUCUCUCUCCUUAUCAGUCGGUGUGAUUUAUUUCGUCACCAUUUUUGAGGUAGUGAAGAAAUGCUACCUUCUGCUCUACCAUUUGGACGUCAACUACAUGGAGCAAGAAGCCAUUCUUCUGGAAAUGCAUGGGGGUGCUUCGUCCCGGCGACAUGAUCAGCCAUUGAAGCCAGAUGUGGUGAAGCUCCUGAGGCGUAAAGCUUAUAUCACGAUACUGAUUUCUGCCAUGCUCGCCUUUCAAGCUCUGAUGCUCCACGCCUGCAGCUCCUUUCUUUGCAACUGAGAUUAACCAUUAGCUAUGUUCACAUGUGAUUAAUGCUCUUGCCGUUUUAAAUACAUAAGAAUAAUGUUGUUUCAAAAAUCGUUUGCUUAUAUUUAAAUACUAUUUUCUCUUUUCCAACUGUCCUUACAAAUAGUCUUAUGCUUAGUAGUAGAAAAAAAAAAAAUAUUAAGAUGAAAAUUAUGUAAUUCAAAUUGAAUGCAUCAAUGGAACCGAAAUUAUUCAUCGUGAAAUUUAUUUACAUCGUUUUUCUUUCCAAAGUAUUUUCUAGUUGGAAAGAAAAUUCCAACAUUGCAAUUUUCGUUAGAAAAACGGGACAAAUUAUAAAAGAAAAGAAAAAUCAAUCUCAAAUACCAAUAUUAAAAUGAUUUAUCUAUUUAUCAACACAAUUUGAGUGGAAGAAAUAAAGACACGUGGAAAUCUAUAUAUCAGGAAUCAAAUAGGGUCAAGAAUGGGUUCCAACAAGAACCAUCAAUGGGCUGCCCAAUCAAUAACAAAAGGCCCUCGAUGGGUCUCAUGGGCCAAACAAAAUGGAGCCAGCACACAAUAAGUUUAAACCCAAAUAAAAAUUUCAAGUACAUAUUUUCAAUCCCAUUUAUAAUUUAUUCAUUUAAAUUAGAAAUCUAUAUAUCAAGAAUCAAAUUAGAGAGACCAAAAUUAACAUAUCAGAGUAGAAAUCUUUACAAUCAAAUUUCUUUUUUAUAAAUUUAAAAAUAUUUUCUAUAACUAAUUUAGAUUAGCAAAAAAGAAAAAAAAAAUCUUCAUCGGACCACACAUGUGAUACACUUUGGUAGUUGUUUUUAAAUUUCAAUAAACAUUCUUACAUCAAAAGUAUAAAAAAAACUAAAAAAAAAAAGGAAAUGUUUAGGAAAGUUUGAUUUUAUUGUAGAAAUUAAACAAAAAAAAGUUAAAUAUAAUUAAAAUUAGUAAAAAAAACUUAAAUAUUUUUAGAUUAUUUUAAGUUUGAUGUAAAGUAUAAAAAUAAUUUUUUAAUUUUAAAUCAAUUUUUUUUCUUUGCUUCUAUUUUUUUCUUUAUUUUUUUUUCUUUUCCUCACAUUUUUUCUUUCACUCCUGAGGAACCAAACAUAACCUAAAAGUUUUAAAUAUAUAAAAAAAAACUUCAUAUUAUAUAUAUAAGGGUUGUUAUUAUAUUGAUUUAUAUAAGUACAAUAUGAUUUUUUUUUUUUUUAUAACCGUGGAUGUUCGGGCCAGCUUACGCGCACCUCGACUAAUCCCACGGGGCCCUGAAGUUAACGACCGGGUAAACCUCCAGUGGCCCUGAGGGGACUCGAACUGGUGACCAUAAGGGAGCAAACCCAAGGCCGGACCAACUGAGUUACCCCUCAGGGUUAUAAGUACAAUAUGAUUAUUCAAAUCAUAUUACAUGUAUAGAAUACGAGAAAUCAAGUUGUGUCAUACUCAAAAUUUCAACAUGAUAGAUAUAGCUUUUGAAGACUUUUCCUUUGCGAUUAAUUCUUAUACUUGGAAUUUGUUUAGGUAGGGUAGGGUUUUUGGAAGUUUGUUCGCAAUUUUCUCAUACUUGGAAACAAUUUCCAAAGGAAUGGUCAGAGAAAGGAACUAAACAAAUAGAAGAUUGAAACGGACUAGAUAGACCCUCACCUGCACCGAAGGUUUGUAUGAUCUUCGUGGACCGCAGGCCGCAUGGCCUUCUCAAGCCUCCAUGCCUUGCUUUUCCGCUUAUAAAGAACAGCCAAAAAGGACUUGACUGAUCUGAAAAAUCAGUGGCCGGAAAAGCGAGCUCGACACGGAGAAACAAUUGCCCAUGCAGUUUGGGAGAUCACAGAGCGAACUGUUGGAGUCUGGGCUUUUGUUUCUUCGUGUCGAUCUCGCUUCCCUUUAUGGCAGAGCUUUUCUCACCCUUCAGACACUCUCCUCCCAAACCAACCUCUCACAGCUUCAAUGCAGCUCACAUCCUCCUCACCGGCGCAUGGUGGUUACUACACUAUCCAGAUGCUGCAGCAGCCCACUUCCCUCAGCCUUGGACUCAUCUACAACUUGCCCGACUCUUACAUCACCUCGUUGCAGUCUUACACCAACUACUCCUACUGGUCUGGACCCGAUAUAUCAAACGUAACAGGCGAUGUAGUCGCGGUUUUAGACAGGGCGGGGAGCUUUGGGAUCAUGUAUGGGUCAUCAUCUGAUGGGGCGGUUUAUGUUUACAAAAGUGAUACUGAUGAGAAAGGGCUGUCUUCGUCGUGUGAAUCAGAUAGUUAGGCCAUUAGUUCUUCGAAGACUGAUACUCGAGAUGAAUGGGAAUUUGAGGCUGUAUCGUUGGGACGAUGAUGUGAACUGCACUCGCCAAUGGGUGCCUGAAUGGGCUGCAGUUUCUAACCCAUGUGAUAUUGCUGGGGUUUGCGGAAAUGGGGUGUGUAGCUUGGACAGAAGCAAGACUAAUGCCUCCUGUACAUGCCUGCCGGGGGCUUCUAAGGUGGGAGACAGCGGCCAGUGCUCAGAGAAUUCGUCGGUGUCAGCUGGGAAAUGUGAUAAUAAUCAUCGGAAUUCAACUGCUUCCAAGCUGAAGAUGUCUAUAGUACAGCAAACUAACUACUAUUACCCUGAAUCUUCGAUUAUAGCAAAUUAUAGUAACAUGUCCCAAUUGUCAAAGUGUGGGGAUGCUUGUUUAUCAGACUGUGAUUGUGUUGCUUCCGUGUAUGGGCCGAGUGAGGAAAAGCCUUACUGUUGGCUGCUGAACAGCUUGGAGUUCGGUGGAUUCGAGGACACGAGUUCGACGUUGUUUGUGAAGGUUGGGCCUAAUGGGUCACCUGAAGACAAAGCAACAGGAUCUGGGGAUUCAUCUGAUGGCCUCCGGGACAAGGUCUUGGUUCUUCCAAUUGUUCUCAGCAUGACUGUCCUUGUAGCACUCCUCUGCCUGUUGUUAUAUCACACUCUGUACAGAAGGAGGGCCUUGAAGAGAUCCCUGGAAAGCUCCUUGAGUGUGUCCGGUGCGCCAAUGAAUUUCAGUUACCGCAAUUUGCAGUCCAGAACCGGCAAUUUUUCGCAGUUGCUCGGCACAGGUCAGCAUGUACAUAUACAUAUACUUUGAAAGGGAUGAAAUUGUUUGAACAAAGCCAGUUGGACUUGAUCAAUUUGGAUUAAUGUUGUCUUCUCUUUUUUUCAGGAGGGUUUGGGAGUGUAUACAAGGGAAGCCUUUCAGAUGAGGCAUUGGUUGCAGUGAAGAAGCUUGACAAGGUUUUGUCUCAUGGGGAGAAGGAAUUCAUAACUGAAGUGAACACCAUUGGCUCUAUGCAUCACAUGAACCUGGUUCGCCUAUGUGGCUACUGCUCGGAAGGCUCUCACCGGUAUGCAUUUCAUUUCAUCGCCUAAAACCAAUUACCACUAACCAUAAUUAAAUUCUUGUCAUCCUCUUUUGUGGUCAAGCAUACUAUAUUUUCGAGCUUAUAAUGGGGUUGGAAUUUGAUGAUUCUUCACAGGCUUCUGGUUUAUGAGUUCAUGAAAAAUGGUUCCUUGGACAAGUGGAUAUUCCCCUCAAAGCAUUGCCGGGACAGACUGCUAGAUUGGGGAACUCGUUUCCAUAUAGCCAUUGCUACUGCACAAGGGAUUGCUUAUUUUCAUGAGCAGUGCAGGAAUCGGAUAAUCCACUGCGAUAUCAAGCCUGAAAACAUACUUCUAGAUGAGAAUUUCUGUCCAAAAGUUUCAGACUUUGGACUAGCAAAGCUGAUGGGCAGAGAGCAUUCACAUGUUGUCACUAUGGUGAGAGGAACUAGGGGCUAUCUGGCUCCAGAAUGGGUUAGCAACCGGCCUAUUACUGUAAAAGCCGAUGUCUACAGUUACGGAAUGCUUCUCCUGGAGAUUGUUGGUGGCCGGAGAAACCUUGACAUGACCUUUGAUGCAGAAGACUUCUUCUAUCCUGGGUGGGCUUUUAAGGUAUAGAUCAAUCAAGUUCUUGCUUCUGUAAAUCACAAAUUGUUAAGUGUUUGAUAUUUUAUUAACGAAAAUGCCAAUUCCUCUAGGAAAUGAGUAAUGGGACGACAAGAAAAGUUGCAGACAGGCGACUGGAAGGGGCAGUGGAGGAAGAGGAGCUAGAAAGAGCAUUGAAAACUGGCUUUUGGUGCAUUCAAGAUGAGGUUUUCAUGAGGCCUUCAAUGGGGGAAGUGGUGAAGAUGUUGGAAGGAUCACUUGAAAUCAACACACCGCCAAUGCCACAGACAGUUCUGGAGCUCAUGGAGGAGGGCUUAGACAAUGUAUACAGAGCCAUGAAGAGAGAGUUCAACCAGUCCAGCUUCUUCACCAUCAAUAAUAGUACCCAUCCUUCAUCAAGGGCUACAUGUAGUUAUUCCACAAUGUCACCUAGAUAGCAAAGGAGAAAUGGAACAAAUUUUGUUGUUGUCCCGGAAUUUUAUCACCUUGAUAGAUACUGUCCAGAAACAUAAUUCUUAUUGAUCAAUUGUUACCAUACAUACUAAUGGGCAAUGAAAUUAGUAGAGAACUUUGCAUAGGUUGAGGUACGAAAAUCUCGGUCUUUUAAAGGAGAUUUAAGCCAUUUCUGGUUUGACAAUUUGAGAAAUUGGUGUAUUUGACUUCUCUUUGAUUUGUCCCCACAAGGAUACGAUAGUCGGCCAAGUGAUUUGUUGCAUAGCUCACAUCAAUAUGCAUAAAGCAUAGAACUUAAGGCUUCACAAAGAAAAAAAAAAAAAAGAAGAAGAAAGGAAGAAGAUAACUAAAAAAAGUCUAAAAAACAUGACAUUAGGAGGAUGAGUCAAAAGACUCAUCAUAAAGUUUAAAAUCUUCAACAAUUUUGAAAGAAUUCAAUCUAGCUCUUUAAUUUUUAUAAGCUAAAUCCCAUUGACAUAAAUGAUAUUUAAUACUUCUCAAUUCCCAUAAUUGUAACUACAAAUUCAAUAAUCCAUUAUGCCAACUUUAAUCCCCUUAACUUUCAUAUAUAACCAUAAUGUUGGUAGCUAGUUUACAUUGAUAACUUUGUUCCAAACUUGUUGGAUCUAACUCUAAUAUUUAAUUACUUCAUGUGACUUACAUUGGACUUGAAAACUUGAAAUUUUUAUCAAUUCCUCCUUAAGGUCAUUCUGGUAACUAUGAUUAAGUUUGUUCGGGUGAAUAAUGACAUCAAAAGGUAUAUGCUGGUUUUUAUUAGAUGAUGUGAAAAUAAUAGGGAAAAAAAGAAAAAAAGAAUCGGAUUUUGAUGAGCAAUCAAGUGAUCCUUAUGAGUGCUUAAGUGCCCAUAACGACUUUACAUAAUUUUUUACUAAUUUUCUUAUUCCAUUUUUUCAUGAUAUUUUUCCGCUACGAUUUUUAAGAUUAUGAUUACACCUUAUGUUAUUGAUUUGAUAUAUGUUUUUUAGAGCUAUAUGCUAUUAUUCUCUAAGAGCCCCAUCGUGGAUUAAGUUUAGUUUGUGGUGAUUUCUUUCAUUAAGGAAUACUCUCUCUCUCUCUCUAAUUGGGAAAUAUCAUCGAUAUGUUGGUGGACAUUGAAGUGAAAUAUAGGAUAGUUUGUGGUGAUUUCUUUCAUUAAGGAAUACUCUCUCUCUCUCUAAUUGGGAAACAUCAUUGAUAUGUUGGUGGACAUUGAAGUGACAUAAGGGGAGAUGGAUAGAUAUUGAAGUGACAUAUAGGGGAGAUAUAUCCAUCUACUGAAGUUUCGGUUAUUUUUUAAAAAUUUGAUAUUUUUGCCAUUCACAUAUUUAAGAGAAUAAAAUAUAAAAGAGUUAAAUAUCUUAUUCCUCGUAAAAUUGAAAUUUCAACUUUUGAAAUGUCAAAUUACAAAAUUAUAAAACACAUUAAAUUUUGAUAUGCCUUAGAAAAAAAACAUAUUUAAUUCAUUUUUUUUUAAUUUUCUUUGUUAUCUUAUUAAUUAAGUUAGCAAAUUACAUUAAAAAUCAAAUAACAAUGGAUCAAUUAAAAGAUAUAACACUAUGUUCGGUUGUCUAAGAUUUGAAAGUAAUGACAACAAAAAGAAAACAAAGAAAAAAAUAAAAAUAAAAAUAAAAAAAAUAAAAAAAUAUUUAAAAUUAAUAAAUUAUUUUUACAUCUUAAUAAAUUAUUUUUACAUAAUUCUUUAUUCAUUCCACUUAUUUAUACUCUUUUAUAUAAAAAUUAAAUAAUUUUAAAAAUAUAUAAAAUUUUAAUUAAUUUUAAUUAUAUUUGAUUUUUCUUUACACUUUUUUAGAGUUAAUUUUGUUCACCUUCUAGAGCUUUGGGUUAAAUAUAUUUAGUCACCUUGAGUUUAAAAUUUUAUCAAAUAUCUUUCUUCCUUUUUUUUUGAGUUAGAGGUAGGGGCAUAACUUGAGCGGAUAGGCCCUACUCAACCUGAUGUUUGAAUAGCUUGAACAAUUAUUUUCAAUACUUGAGUUGUGAUAGAUUAAAUAUUUUCAAUUCGAGCUCAAUUUGGACGACUAAAGAUUCAAACAACUCAAACCUAAUCCAAAUUGGAUUUAAUAUUUUUAUAAUAUUUAUAAUAUAAAAUAUCAAAUAUUAUUAUUACAUAUCAUAUCUUGAAAUUUUGUUCUAUUAAUUAUUUAAAUUUUGACAUAAAUAUAUGAGUUUAUUAUACUUUACCCCUAUAACCUAUAACUUGUUUUACACAUUGUUCCAUCAAGUUCAAAAUUGAGUAAUGUACCUUCCAUAUUUAAUAACUGUACGUAAUGUGCAUUUUUUUUAAAGACAACUUUAUUUUUUGGACGGAAAGGUACGUGCUCUCCGCGUGAUUGAGGGUAAAAGUGUCUUUUUUCCUUUGCAACUCCCUCUCUCGAUCAUUACUCCCCUUUGGAACCCCAAAUUGUAGCCCGCUUCUUCCUGACCCGUUCUUCUUUCCUUCCUUCAAAGCCUUAGAAUGUGAAUCCCAAAAAGUUGCUACUGAAGCCCUAGAAAAUUUCUCAUGUUUGUAGGGUGGAAAUGUUUCUCCAAAUUUCCCUAAAAAAUUGCCCAAAAAUUUCCCCAGUUUUUUGAAACACAAAAACAAAACCCCAACCCUAAACUAGAAGCAUAACAAAAAAAAUUUAAACCCUAACAUAAAAACCCUAGCCCUCAAUUGGCCCUAGUUUUAUUCAACCAUAAAUCCCCCAAAUUUCCCCUGAAAAUUGCCUUUAAAUUUCUACAAAAUUUCCCCCAAAAUUCUCCUAGUUUUCUUAAACAUGAAAAUGAAACCCUAACCUUGAACUAAAAUCAUAACAUAAAAAUUUAAACCCUAACAUGAAAACCCUAACCCUCAAUUUGCCUGAGUUUUAUUCUUCCAUAAUUUCCACAAAAUUUCCCCAAAUUUUCUGAAAGAUCCAAACGAAACCCUAACCCUAAAGAAAUUGGAAGACAAAAAAUACCUUUGAACUUUCAUGUCUCUCUUCAAUGUCAGCCCUGCAUUAGCUUCUUUGGGAUUCUAGGGCUUCAGCUUUGAGUUUCACUAAUAGCUACAGAGGAGGAACAGUACAUGCUGGAGAAGAUGAGGGUUUUAAAAUAACAAUGACCCUUUUGCCCUUGCUUUAUGGGAACGAAGACAAUUUUGCCCUCAGUCACGUGGAGAGUACAUGUCUUUCUGUCCAAAAAAAAUAAUGUCGUAUUUAAAAAAAUACACAUUUUAUGCAAUUAUAAAGAAUUAAGGGUACAUUAUUCGAUUUUGUACUUAAGGGGGCAAUGUGUAAAAUAUGCUUUAAAUUGAGGGGUAAAGUGUAAUUAACUUUAAAUAUAUAGAAAAAAUAUUUUUUUGAAAAACAUUAUUUGGGUAAAUUUUGAAUUAUGCAAUCGAUUAUUUUCUCUUGAAUAACCUCAUGAAUCCGAACUCAAUCUAAUUUUUUUUUAUCCUACUUUAGAUAUAUAUAACUCAUUUGUCUUGUCUCGGUCACUUCGUCCCAAUCACAUUCAUAAAUUUUCUCGGGAAACUUGUGUUUGAGGCUGGUAAUAUUAAAAUAGUAUGAGAUUGGAAACCCAACUUUUGAUUUUUUAAUAUAAUUAUUCUAAUCCUAAAAAUAAUAUAGGGUUCAUGCACUUUUAGCUGAACUAUUUUUUAAUAUCCAAUAUGCCCUCUUCUUUCUGCCAGGUCAACCUCCACAUGUGAAAAAAAAAAGAGGUCUUCUUCCAUCUCCAGCAUCACCUGUGAAAAAAAAAGGGUCUUAUUCCAUCUCCAGUAUCACCUCCACUAGAUGACCAUAACUCCUCCCAAACUUCUUCACCUCCAUUUGCAGACUGUCCACUAUCGGGUCAACUUGUUUCAUCUCAAUCAUCGCCGCGGCUCAUCACCAGCGACGACCGAGGGAACCUCGACUCUAUGUACCGCAUCAACAUCUCCCCCGAUCCCGAAACUGUGUCAGAGCCACACUGCAGAACCAACAUAUCGGGUUUGAGAAUCGGCGUCUCGGCCGACACCAUACAGAUGGAUACGCAUUUGUGGUGUAGGGCGAACCGGAUGUAGGAGGUGAGAGGAACCGCUGGAGAUAAACGACACCAAAAUUCCUUUCCCAUCUUCCACUCCCUGGUUGUAGGUCUCAUCAUAGGAAACAAACGGCUGAGACUUAGUAAAUUGGGAGAGGAAGCAUGCUAGUUGUAGGUGUGAGAAGUUGCGGGAGAGUCAUGGACGAAGGUGGGGGGAGAGAGAGAGAGAGAGACUUGAAGAGGUUAGGUUUUCUUUUUGGGAUUUGGGUUUCAAAAGGGAGCAGAGCAGAUGGAAAAUUUUAGGCAAAACGUUUUAUGUUUUCUCGGUUUUUUGAUUUUUUGGUUUUUUUUUUAAAAAAAAAAUAAGUGGAGGUUGACGUGGUAGAGAAGAGAGGCAUAUUAGGUAUUAAAAAUCAGCUCAGCCCAAAGGGCAUGGAACCCAAAAUAUUUUGGGUUCAAUAUUGAAAAAUUAAAAAUGGUAAAAAUGAGUUUUGGUUUUCAUAAUAUUUAGAUAUCACCAUCCCAAAACCUAACUUUUCCAAUUUUCUCUUUCGUGCUUGCCGUGAAAGUCACUUGCUCCGCAAUUUACGCAAAGACUCUAUUACCAUUGACUUUAUUACAAUUUCUACAAGAAAAAUCGAACUUCAAGACUAAGCAAAUAUCCUAGGAAUCAAGCUGGAAGCUACAAUGCUGUUUCAGGGAAGCAUAUGAUAUACAAAUACAACCCUUAUAUGUUACAGCUUCGGUACUGACCAGGAGACUGUAAGUACUGGCCAUGGAUGCAGAAGAAGAAAGGCUAAGUAAAACCCAUAUCCAUGGCCAAUUGGUAGAGAUAAACCACAAUCAGGAGAAACGAAUACGCCACGAAGAAACAAAGGCGCAGAAUCUGACAACUGGGUUUGCGGUCGUCCAAGCUUUAAUUCUCAACACAGGGGUGAUCAAUAAGCCAUCUAACAGAUGCGAACACUGGUGGGUGCCAUUCUCUCUCUCCUUAUCAGUCGGUGUGAUUUAUUUCAUCACCAUUUUUGAGGUGUUGAGGAAAUGGUACCUUCUGCUCUACCAUUUGGACGUCAACUACCUGGAGCAAGAACUUAUUCUACUGGAAAUGCAUGGGGGUGCUCCGUCCUGGCGAAAUGAUCAGCCAUUGAAGCCAGAUGUGGUGAAGCUCCUGAGGCGUAAAGCUUAUAUCACGAUACUGAUUUCUGCUAUGCUCGCCUUUCAAGCUCUGAUGCUCCACGCCUGCAGAUCCUUUCUUUGCAGCUGAAAGUAACCAUCUUCCCCUUUAAAUAAAUACUAGAAUAAAAAAAAAUUGUUGUUUAUUAUGCCAAAUUUCUCGAUGCCUUUGAAGAGUGUCAUGGGAAAUGCUAUUAAGAUGCAAACUACAUAAUUCAAAAUGCAUUAUAUGGAACGAAAUUAUUUACCAUGAAAUUUAUUUAUAUUGUUUUUCUUUCUAAAGUAUUCAAAAUGCAUGAUAUGCAAUAGAAAAUUUUGAGGGAAAAUAUCACAGAAAGAAAAUAGAGAGAAAAAAUAGAAUAAAAAAAUAUGAAAAAAAAAUAAAAAAAUAUAUUUAAAGUCAAUAAAUUAUUUUUAUAUCUUAUUUUAAACUUAUUUUACUUAUUUUAACUCAUCAAUAUAAAGGUUAAAUAAUUUUAAAAUAUAUAAAAUUUUAAUUAAUUUAAAUUAUAUUUGAUUUUAUUUGACAUUUUUCAUGAUACAAUCAUGAGAAACUCGUUUUCUUAAACAUUUUUCUUUUCUUUUUUCAGUAGUUUUUGGCAACCAAACAUUACCUAAAAUUUUGUUAGUGCAUCUCCUUAGGUGUUUGUGCUCACAUAUUGGGCCCAAGAAUGGGUUCCUGCAACUACCAUCAAUGGGCCGGGCUGCCCAAUCAAUAACAAAAGGGCACUCACCUGGGUCUCAUGGGCCGAGAAAAAUGGAGCCCAUACACAACAGUUUUGAACCCAAACAUAAAUUUCAAGUUCAUAUAUACUUUUAAUCUCGUUUAUUCAUUCAUAUUAGAAAUCUAGAUUUAUAUUAAUUCAUUCAUGUAGAUCUAUAUAUUAGGAAUCAAAUUAGAGUGCAUAGAAACCAAAAUUAAGAGAGAGGAUUAUACCCAGGGAAGUUUUGUGUGAUACGUUGAACUGAAAGUGAUAAAAACUAAGACUAUGUUUAAUUCCCAAAAAGCAAUAAGGAAAGAAAAAAAAAUAUGAAGGAAAAUUAUUUUCUUGUAUUUUAUUUUUUUAUGAAAAACUUGAAAGGAAAUAAAAUAUAAUUAAAAAUUUAUUAUAUAUUUUUAAAUUAUUAAUUUCCAUAUAAAAGGGGAACAAAAUGUCAAUGAAUUUGAAAUAACAAAUAAAAAUGAUUUAUAAGUUUUAAAUCCAUUUUUUUUAUUUUCCUUAAUAUUUUCCUUCUUCUACUUUUUCUUUCUAUUUUCUUUUUCUCACAUUUUCUCUUAGAUUUUCUAAGAACCAAACAUAAUAUAAAAAAACAAAUAAUAUAUAAAAAAACCCAAAUAAUUUGACAUGUGGUAUAUUGUUGCUAGUCAAAGUAAUGGUUGUGGGUGACUUUUAGAAGCCUCCAAUAAGAAAUGGCCAAAAAACCUAUGAGCUUGGCAUUUAUUUGAGUAUCUCGGGGACAAUAUUUUAUUUUUAAUUAUGUGUUUUAAUUCAUUGUUUUUUUUUCUUUAAUAUUAUUUUAGAAAUAUGUUUAGAGAUAUGUUAAUUUUAGUGCUUAUAGUAAUAUAAAGAUUUUGAUAAUUAAAAAUUUGUUUAAAAAUGAUUUUAGGAAGCAUUUAACCUAUUUAAUCUUUAAAUUUUUUAUAAAAGAAUUGUUUUCAAGUGCUAAAAAGAUUAGAGACAUUUUAUAAAAUUACUAUUAAAUAAAUUCUAAAUAUAAUCGAGUCGUGUGACUAUAAAUUGCUAGACUUUUCCAUGUGAUUAAUCCUUGGAUACUUGGAAUUUGUUUAUGUGGGGUAGAGCUUUUGUGAGUUUGUUUGCAAUUUUCUCAUACUAGAAACAAAUGAAUGGUCAGAGAAAGGAACAUAGAAAAGAGAAGAUUGAAACACCUUCACCUGCUCCGAAGGUUCGUAUGAUCUUCAUGCCAGCCUCCAUGCCUCAUUUUCCCGCUUAUAAAAAAAAGGCCACAAAAGACUAGACUGAUCUGAUAAAGCAGGGCCGGAAAAGCGAGCUCGACACGAAGAAACGAAAGCCGGCCAAUGCAGUCCGAGAGAUCACACAGCGAACUGUUCGAGUCUGGGCUUUUGUUUCUUCGUGUCGGUCUUGCUUCUGUCUCCGGCCGGAGGAACAAAAUUGUACAGACAUGGAUGGGAAGAACUCCUGUAAUAUCAAGAGUCCUUCUAUCUUUGGAUUGUUAUAAUAAUAUUAUCUUCAAAACAAAAUUUAUGCAAGUGGGGGUAUAUUUUUUAUUUUUUGUUUUUGAAAAUAGGAAGUUUUAUACAAAAUAUAAAAAAAUCUUAUAUGAAAGAUAGGUAUAAUCUUGUUAUGUUAUUUGAAAACAUUUUUUAAAAUUGACAGAAGUAAAAAAAUUUCAAUUCCAUAAAUUUUUAAAUUUUGAAAAAGUCUUUAAGAAGGGUAGGUAAGAGGAUGCUUGUUAAUGGUUAGAAAAUAGUUUUAUAUGUUUUAGAACAAAAGAAUAAUAAAAAAAAACAUGCUUAGUGAUUAGAAAACAGUUUAUACUCUUAAAAAACAAAAAAUCGGAGUGUUUUUAGAUAAUAUCUUUUAAUUUUUAAAAUUAUUUUUAUUUAUUGAAAAAUAAUCAUACAAAAUGCAGAAUGAUUAUGAGUAAAGUAUUACAUGUGAAACUUAUUUUUAAAAAAUAUUUAAAAACAUAAAAAAAAAAGUUAAUAACAGUUCAAGUUUCCAAACAAACUAUUAUUUUACAAAAUAUUAAAUAACAAUUUUAAAAAAUAGUUUUAAAAAAUACUUUUCGAACACAAUUUAAAUUUUUUUCUUUUUGCAUAAAAAUUCUUAUAUUUUGUAUAAGAGUUUUUAUUUUUAAAAAUAAAAAAAUAAGAAAUAUAUUCAAAGAUAUUUAAUAAACAAUAAAAUUCAAAAGAGAAAGCCUUAAAUUUUAUGUUAUUAUUGUAAAAUGAGAAUAAAUGUGACUCAAAUAAUAGUAGGGAUGACUAUGUAUUAUUUUAAUAAUAUAUAUAUAGAGGGGCGGGGGGAAGAAAUCAAAGAAAAGUGUUGAGAGAAUGAAAGAAAGAGAGAGAGAAUGAGAGGAAGAAAAUUUCUUCUUUUUCUCGGAAUGCUCUUACAUGGGGUGUAAGAACCCUUUUAUAGGAUUCAUAAGAUGAACUCCCAUUACUCAUCUUAAAGAUGAGUAAAUGGAGUUCAUAAAUGACCAUCAAUGUGGUCAUUCAUCACUUCAUUUACAACAUUUCCCCUUGGAUGACCACCAUAUUAAAAGAAUAUGUUUCAUUAAAACCUUGUUAGUAAAAAUUUUUAUAGGAAAAACCUAGUGAAGGAAAAAGAGUACAAUAUUCUUUUCUUGGUAUAUUAGGACUACCUCGUUAAAAACCUUGCCAGUAAAACCCAGUAGGACAAAACCUGGACGAAGGAAAAAAGAGUACAGUACACUAACACCCUUUUACAAGCAUACUCCCCCUCAUGUCAAUAUCCUUGAGUUGACGCAUUCCAAUCAUGUAUAUUAAUUUCUUGAAUGUUGAGGUUGACAAUGAUUUUGUGAAUAAAUCUGUUAGAUUAUCACUUGAGCGUAUUUGUUGCACAUCAUUUUCACCACUCUUCUAGAGUUCAUGUGUAUAAAAGAAUUUUGGUGAAAUGUGUUUAGUUCUAUCUCUUUUAAUAUAACCCCCUGUUAUUUGUGUAAUGCAUGUAGCAUUAUCUUCAAAUAAUAUUGUCGGGUCACCUUUGAUAGAGGAGAGUCCACAUGAUUCCCGAAUAUGUUGGAUCAUAGAUCUUAGCCUUAUACAUUCAUGACUUGCUUCAUGAAUUGCUAGUAUUUCUGAAUGAUUUGAUGAUGUGGCCACCAUUGUUUGUUUGACAUAUCUCCAUGAAAUAGCAGUACCAUUGCAAUUAAACACAUACCCUGUUUGUGACCUACCUUUAUGUGGAUCUGAAAGAUAUCCUGCAUCUGCAUAUCCAAGCAAUUGUUGCUUUGAUUCCGUUGAGUAAAAUAAACCCAUAUCAGUAGUUCCGCAAAGAUAACAUAAUAUAUGUUUGAUACCAUUCCAAUGUCUUCGAGUUGGAGUGGAAUUGUAUCUUGCUAAUAAAUUGACAGAAAAAGCAAUGUCUGGAUGUGUACAAUUGGCAAGAUACAUAAGUGCACCAAUAGCACUAAGAUAUGGUAUUUCAGGACCAAGUAACUCUUUUUUUUUUUUUCGCAAGGACGAAAUGAGUCAUUUUUCACAUCAAGUGAUUGGACAACCAUUGAAGAACUUAAAGGAUGCGCUUUAUCCAUAUAAAAACGCUUCAAAACUUUGUUAACGUAUGUUGAUUGAUGUACUAAAACUCCAUUUGGAAAAUGCUCGAUCUGCAGGCCGAGAUAAAAUUUUGUUUUUCCAAGAUCUUUCAUCUCAAAUUCCUUUUUCAAGUAAUUUGUUGUUCUUGUGAGCUCUUAAGAAGUUCCAACAAGAUUUAAGUCAUCGACAUACACUGUAAUAAUUGCAAAUCCGGUUUCUGAUUUCUUAAUGAAGAUGCAUGGGCAUGUAGGGUUAUUCACGUAUCCUUCUUUUAGCAAAUAUUCGCUAAGACGAUUGUACCAUAUGCGUCCAGAUUGCUUUAAUCCAUACAAUGAUCGUUGUAACUUGAUUGAGUACAUGCUACGAGACUUUAUACUAUUUUCUCCAGGCAAUUUAAAUCCUUUAGGGAUUUUCAUGUAUAUAUCAUUAUUCAUGGAUUCGUAUAAAUAUGUUGUAAUAACAUCCAUGAGAUGCAUAUCCAAUCCUUCUGAGACUACCAAAUUGAUUAAGAAACAAAAUGUGAUUGCAUCCAUGACGAGAUAAUAUGUUUCUUCGUAGUCAAUACCAGGUCUUUGCGAGAAACCUUGUGCUACUAAUCGCGCUUUAUAUCUUAUGAUCUCAUUAUUCUCAUUGCGCUUUCGUACAAAUACCCAUUUGUACCCAACAGGCUUUACAUCUUCAGGUGUUUAGACUACAGGUCCAAAAACUUCUUGUUUUGUUAAUGAGUUUAACUCUGCUUGUAUAGCUUCAUUCAGUUUUAGCCAAUCAUUUCUAUGUCAACAUUCUUCCACAUUUCGUAGUUCGGGAUUUUCAUCAUUUCUUUUGACUUUAGAGGCCACUUGGAAAGCAAAAAUAUUGUUAAUAACAAUAUUAUUUAAAUCCAUUUUUUCUCCCGUGUGUACAUAACUUACUGAGAUAUCACAAUUUUUAGGUACCUGUGCCUCUUCAAGGGCUUCUCGUUCAAUAUGUGCCUCUUCAAAGGCUUUUUGCAUUAUUUAUGCCUCUUCUAGGGCUAUAGAUUUAUCAAUUUUAAAUUGAUCAGUCAUUUUGAUGGCCUCUUCUAGAGUGCCAAGUUUUUCUUCGGUUCUCAUUUUCUAGGAAGUUACAUCAUUUGAGCCGACAAGUUUACCACGCUUCAGGCAUAUCUUAAAUUCAUUUGUUAACUGUCCUAUAGGGACAUCAAUCCGUGCUGGAGUAUUUGUAGUCGGGAUAUGUUACUUUGUCACUUUCUUUGUAUUAAUGAAUGCAUCUGGUAAUUGAUUUGCAAGAUUUUGCAAAUGAAUGAUCCUUUGGAAGAUGGGUCAUAGUAGAUGCCUUCCAACUAAUUUCUCAUGGUUCUUCAGGAAUCGACUUUUCUCCCCUUAAUGAUGGGAAAACACUCUCAUUAAAAUGACAAUCCGCAAAGCGGGCAGUAAAAACAUCACCUGUCAAAGGUUCAAGAUAUCUUAUGAUAGACGGAGAAUCAAAACCUACAUAAAUCCUAAGUCUUCGUUGGAAAUCCAUUUUAGUGCGUUGUGUAGGUGCAAUUGGUACAUAUACUGCACAACCAAAGAUUUGUAAGUGAGAGAUAUUUGGUUGUUUUCCAAGCACAAGUUGUGAAGGGGAAUAUUCAUGGUAAGUUGUAGGUUGAAUAUGGACUAAAGCUACAACAUGCAUAAUAACAUGUCCCUAGGUAGAAGUAGGUAAUUUGGUUUUCAUUAGUAAUGGUCGAGCUAUUAAUUGGAGACGUUUGAUGAAGGAUUCUGCUAAGCCAUUUUGGGUAUGAGUAUGAGCAACAAGAUGCUCAAUAUUUAUCCCUACUGACAUGCAAUAGUCAAUGAAUGUUUGAGAAGUAAAUUCUCCAGCAUUAUUAAGACGUAUUGUCUUAAUUGGAUAAUAUGAAAAUUGUGCUCGUAAUAUGAUUAUUUGUGCAAGGAGUCUAGCAAAGGCAACGUUACGUGUAGAAAGGAGACAAACAUGUGACCACCUAGUAGAAACAUCUAUUAAGAUCAUAAAAUAACGGAAUGGUCCACAUGGUGGAUGGAUAGGCCCACAUAUGUCCCUAUGUAUUUUUUCUAAAAAGACUGGUGACUCAGAUAUAACUUUAGUAAAAGAUGGUCUGAUUAUCAAUUUACCUUAUGAGCAGGCAACACAUGAGUAUUCAUUGGGUGAAAGAAUCUUCUAGUUCUAUAGUGGAUGUCAAUGUGAGUGUUCGAUUAUUCGACACAUCAUUGCAGACCCUGGGUGACCUAGCCUGUCAUGCUAAAGUACAAAAACUUUUGGGUCGUUGAACUUCUGGUUCACGACAACAUAUGAUUCAAUAGGCUUUAUAGUUGUAUGAUACAACCCAGAGGAGAAAGUCGGGAGUUUUUCCAUUAUAAGCUUCUGACCAGAUAUAAUGGAAGUAAUGUAAAGAUGUUCUAUAUUAUCUUCAUUCAUAGUUUCAAUAUGAUAUCCAUUUCUGCGGAUAUCUUUAAAACUAAGCAAAUUUAUUCUGGAUUUGCUAGAAUAUAAAGCAUCAUUUAUAUGAAAUCUAGUUCCAUUUGGCAACGUUAUGUUUGCUCUUCUAGAACCUUCAACUAAGUUUGUAGUACUAGAUAUGGUACUUACAUUAGCUUUUAUUAAUGUCAAUUCAAGGAAAUAUCUUUUAUCUCGAAGAAUUGUGUGCUUGGUCGCACAGUCUACGAGACACACAUCAUCCUCAUUCAUCUUGAGACCAAAUAACACAUGGAUUUCAGAUAUAACAAAAUAAAACAAGGCAUAAUGUAAAUAACAAAGUAAAUCAGAUGUAAAUAUAAGACAUAAUAAUAUAUUAUUUCAUAUAUAAAGUAACAUCAAUUAAUGUUAAUUUUCUCAUCAUUUAUCAAAUGGUCUAUUUUUUCAUUGGGACCUUCAAAGAAAUCAAUGUCAUAGUAGGUUAGGUCCAAUCCAUCACCAUCAGUAAAGUUCAUCUUUAUCUCUUUUCCUUUUGCUUUUAUUGAUGCUUGGUAAAGGUCGACUAAAUGUUUGGGCGUACGACAGGUAUGCGACCAAUGCCCCUUCAUACCACAUCUAUAACAAUUAUUCUCGUGGUUCUUAGGAGGUUUAUCUUGUAAAUGCUUCCCAUUUUCUUGUAUUGUCUCAGUAUUGUUCCAUUUCUGGUGGUGCAACGAGGCUUUCAUUUUCUGAGAAUUAUUACUAUAAGAACCAUGGUAUCGGGGAUUUUUUCCACGAUCAUGACCACGUCCAUGAAUUUGGACGAUAUUGCAUUCACUUUAAGGAAUGGUUCAGAUCCAGUUGGACGAGAUUGAUGAUUUCUCAUUAAAAGCUCAUUAUUUUGUUUAGUAACAAGAAGACAUGAUAUUAAUUCAGAAUAUUUUGUAAAUCUACACUUUCUAUAUUGCUGUUGCAGGAGCACAUUCGAGGCAUGAAACGUAGUAAAAGUUUUCUCUAACAUGUCUUCUUCUAUGAUUUUUUCUCCAUGUAGCUUUAAUUGAGAGCUGAUUUUGAAAAGUGCGGAGUUGUAUUCACUAAUAGUUUUAAAAUCUUGCGACCUUAGGUGCAUCCAAUCAUAUCAAGCUUUUGGGAGAAUCACAGUUUUCUGGUGGUCAUAUCUUUCCUUCAAAUUACUCCAUAGAGUAAAAAAGUCCUUUACCGUAAAAUACUCAUUUUUUAAACCUUCAUGGAGGUGAUGACGAAGGAAAAUCAAUGCUUUUGCGCGAUCCUGCAGGGAUGCUUGAUUUCCUUCUUUGAUUGUAGCUCCAAGGUUUAUUGCAUCAAGAUGUAAUUCAACAUCAAGGAUCCAAGAUAGAUAAUUCUUUCCCGAAAUGUCAAGUGCCACAAAUUUGAGUUUUGUGAUAUUCGACAUUGUCAAAUAACUUCAUAUAUAUGACAAAACAAUAUUAUUAGAAUCAAUUAUAAUAACUUAAUAGCAUUGGUAUAACUUUGAUUAUAAACAAAAUCAAAUAAUUUGUUUAUAAUUUUUAACAAUAUGUAACAAAACAAAUCAACAAUAAUAUAAAUAUGUAAAAUUUUAUCCUAUAUAAAUAACUUCAAGUUUAAGAUACGAGAAUUACCUUCAGAACAAUUCGUGCUAAUAAUGUGUUGUAAAAAGAGAAUAAAUGUGACUCAGAUAAUAGUAGGGAUGACUAUGUAUUACUUUAAUAAUAUAUAUAUAUAUAUAAAGGGGGAGGGGGGGAAGAAAUCAAAGAGAAGUGUUGAGAGAAUGAAAGAAAGAGAGAGAGAGAGAGAAUGAGAGGAAGAGAAUUUUUUUUUUCUCGAGAUGCUCUUACAUGGGGUGUAAGAAGCCUUUUAUAGGCUUUAUAAUAUAAACUCCCAUUACUCAUUUUAAAGAUGAGUAAAUGGAGUUCAUAAAUGACCAUCAAUGUGGUCAUUCAUCACUUCAUUUACAACAGUUAUUAAUUUGUUGUAUUACUUAGAGGGGGUGAAUGAAUUGAAAGCACUAUGGAGGUAAGCUUUUUAGUUUUUUCACCUUAUCCUCUUUAUACAUAAUGUCUCCAUCAAUGAUGUUCAGUAUAUUCCUUAUUUUUGUUUUACUUAAGUGUUCUUGUAUUGUAGCCCUCUCAAGACUCUUCCUCUUCACUCCAAACAAGUUAAUUGUCUUCAUAUCAAAGUAACAUAAGUUGAUUUUCUUAUAGGGCUAAUGCUACUUAUGUGAUUAUUUUCUUUACAAAAGUUGCAAAUAAUAUUUGAGGAUUCCUUGACAAAAUAAUUUUUAAAUUUUUAUUUUUUUAUUUUUUUUAUUUUUAUAGAGCUUGUAUCCUAAUCCCUUUAUUGCAAAGAUUAUUUUUUUACUUGCCAAAAUUAUCAAAAUUCUUGUCCCCAUUUGAGAAUUUUGAAAGAGAAGAGAUUAACUAAUGAAUUUUCUUUUCAAGUAAGUAUAUAUUUUAUUCCAAGGAAAACCUUAGCCUUUUUUAGAUAUUUUAAACUCCCCUUUUAAGUCAUUAAUUUCAACUUGAAGAGAGAUGAUUUUCUUUUUAAGAUAAGCCUGAAAGUUAUUUGAUCUAGUUUAGGUAACACCUAGAGGAGUUGAAUGGUGUUUAAACUUUUCUGCUCAAAAAUGAAUUAUUUUAUAUUCAUAUAACAAACAUUUUUUCAAUUUAGGAAAGCCUAAAAACACUCAAUACAAAAACAUAAGAUUUUUAUAUGGAAAACCACCCAUAUCAUGUGCGGAUGUAAAAACGACAAGGUCAGACUUUUAAUCAUUAAUAAACUAUUUGAAAGUAUUAUACAUGGUUUUAGUUGGUGGAAGCUAUCGUUAAGUCUUACUACCCAACACCUACAAUGCACUUCACAUUUGCGAUAUAGCACUACGUGUGCUCUUAGUGGAUCUAACCUCAGUGUUUGAGAGGAUGUAGAUCUCCUUUUCAAUCCAACAUAAGCGAAAACAACAUUCCUUGAGAGUUUUAGGAAUAAGAUGACGAAUUUGGUUUUUCAAAAAAUUUGCAUCAAACCAAAAACCUUUUUAGGUAAAACAUUUAUAGGCAUAAGAAGCUGGCAGACUGGAUCUAAAAUUUUCCAAAAUAAGACCUUAAAAAAAAUUAGAAAAUCAAAGUUCCAAAAAUUUUGGAGAAUUCUAUCAUGGGUGUUUGAGUGCUCAUGGGAGCACUUGAGUGCUUAAGGAGAUUUUUUAAACUUUUUAAAAAUUCUUUUAGCUUGGUUUUAAAACCAUUAGUUCGCACCAUGCCUUAACAAACACCAAUUUGUCAUUCUUGAACCUUUUGAUUUUUACUUGUGCCAUCCUGAUUGAUCACAUAACAACUUUGAGUCUUCAAUGAAGAGUAAAACACAAUUUAGAAAGAUUCUAAACUAGAAUGAAAGGAAUUAUAUAGCCUAAUAUACCAACAAUCUUCUCCUAUGAUAAUUUUAUGAAAAAAAAUACAAAUUACAUAAACCCCCUAAUACUCUUCAAUGGAGUUUAAGAAUCUCUCAAUAACUCUCGUCUAAACCAAAUCAUUCUUGAACAUGCAGAUGAUGAUAAAUCACAUCUAAAAGUGGGCAAUACCCCACUACUUGUGACCUGCACACACAAACCAACCAAGUACUCAAGUAAAACAAUGUGUGAGAGAAAACACAACUCAUAAAUUCUAUCAAAUCAAGGUAAGAGUAGAUGGAUGUGAGUCAUGCAUACAAUGGAUAUCUAAUCAAUAGUAUCAAUAAAUUGUCUCCCCAUUUUUGUCGCAAAAAUGACAAAGAAGGAAUAAACAAUGAAUGCACAUAAGAGAAAGAGAAACAAUUAAGCAAAAGAACUUCAACUUAUUUUUAGAAUGCUUCUUUCUUGGUAAGAUCUCUUAAGAAACCCUUCUUGAAAAUAGUUUUUUUUUUUUUGUUUUGUUUUUUAUGAUGGAAAAUUGUUUUCUACCUUAAAAACUAUAUUUGGUAAAAUUUCACUAAAAUAAUUUUUUGAAAAUAGGUUUUUUUUUUGGAACAAACGCUUUUAAAUAUAUAUAUAUAUAUAUAUAUAUAUAUAUAUAUAUAUAUAUAUAUAUAUAUAUAUAUAUAUAUAUAUAUAUAUAUAUAUAUAUAUAUAUAUAUAUAUUGUAGAAUAUUUCAAGAAAUAGUUGAAAAUAUGAAAAAUGUUUCAAGAACCUUUGUAUCUUAGAUUUGUGCACUUCAGUUUCAUGAAUAAUAUUAAACUAAGAAAACUGUUAUUUAUAUAUUAAUUUCUAAAUAAAAUUUUGUUGCUGGAAAUAAUUAAAAUUUAUUUUAAAAAACUAUUUUCAAGAAUUAUUUUUGAAAACGUUGCUAAAAAGACAAAAGUCCUUGGUCAUUUUUUUUUCUUUUAUAUUUUUAUCUUUAUCUAAGAGGCCGGUCUUUUUUUUUUUUUAAUGUUCCAUAAUCCUUGUGAAAUUGUAACGUGUAAUUCAUUUAUUUGACUUCAAAAGUUAAGAAAUAAUGAACCUUUCAUUAUUGUAGUUUGUCUUGUAGUAAGAGACUUAAAAAUCCACGUACAAGAUGUCUUUCUUUCUUAAGUCAAGUCAACAAAAUGGAGGUGGAAGAAAUAAUGAACUUUCAUUAUUGUAGUUUGUCUUGCUAAAAGCUAUGUAUAACGGGUCUUCGUAAGUCAAAUCAAUAAUCAAAUUAAAAGAAAUAAUAAACUUCCAUUAUUCUAUUUUAGAGACUUAAAAAGCCAUAUAUAACGGGUCUUCUUUUCUUAAGUCAAGUCAAUAAAAUAAAAGUAGAAGAAAUAAUGAACUUUCAUUAUUGUAGUUUGUCUUGCUAAAAGCCAUGUAUAACGGGUCUUCGUAAGUCAAAUCAAUAAAUCAAAUUAAAAGAAAUAAUAAACUUUCAUUAUUGUAUUUUAUCUUGUAGCGAGAGACUUAAAAAGCCAUGUAUAACGGGUCAUCUUUUCUUAAGUCAAGUUAAUAAAUCAAAUUAAAAGAAAUAAUAAACUUUUAUUAUUGUAUUUUAUAUUGUAGCAAGAAACUUAAAAAGCCAUGUAUAAUGGGUCUUCUUUUCUUAAGUCAAGUCAAUAAAUCAAAUUAAAAGAAAUAAUAAACUUUUAUUAUUGUAUUUUAUCUUGUAGCGAGAGACUUAAAAAGCCAUAUAUAACGGGUCAUCUUUUCUUAAGUCAAGUCAAUAAAUCAAAUUAAAAGAAAUAAUAAACUUUUAUUAUUAUAUUUUAUAUUGUAGCAAGAGACUUAAAAAACCAUGUAUAAUGGGUCAUCUUUUCUUAAGUCAAGUCAAUAAAUCAAAUUAAAAGAAAUAAUAAAUUUUUAUUAUUGUAUUUUAUAUUGUAGCAAGAGACUUAAAAAGUCAUGUAUAAUGGGUCUUCUUUUCUUAAGUCAAGUCAAUAAAUCAAAUUAAAAGAAAUAAUGAACUUUUAUUAUUGUAUUUUAUAUUGUAGCAAGAGACUUAAAAAACCAUAUAUAACGGGUCUUCUUUUCUUAAGUCAAGUCAAUAAAUCGAAUUGGAAGUUUUUCCUUUUUUUUUUUUUUUAAACCAACUUCUACUAUUACUUUUAUUAGUUAUUUUGAUCAUUUGAUUAAAUAUUGAAUUAUUAUUAUUUUUUUAAAAUUUUCAAGUACAAACCAUUUCAUGUUAAAAAAUUUAAAGUGGAUCUAACUUUCUUUACAAGUUAAGAUAUCUUGAUUAAAGGAUAAAUAAUGGAUUGUAAUAUUUCAACUUUAAUUAAGUUAAUUUAUCAAUAUUCAAACUAAGUUGGAGAAAAAAAAAAGACAACACCUCAAUUUUAGUUUUCCAUUACACAUGGUUAUUUCUUUUUCUUCUUUUUCUUUUGCUUAUUUGACACACAAUGGCAGCUCUAGUCAUCAUACCUUUCAAGACUCUAAACUCACACAAAUUUUCAAUCUUUUCAUCAUAUCUUUUAAAAUUCUUGUCACUCAUAAAGUAUUUAAGACUUAAUUUUAAUAAAUUCAUAUUUUUAUAACUAUAACUAAGAGCUUUGACCUAUUAAAAAAUGAAUCAAAAAUCGUUUGCAAGACAUUAAAAUUUCAUAAUUAUUUCUUUUACCUUAAAUGUAGUUGUUAUGUGUUUGCUAGUUCACAUAUUUGCAAUAUACCCUAGGAUGGUUGAGCUAUGUAACAUGCUUCUCGGAAUCAAUUCAUUCGGUUUUUUUUUUUUCCUUUUCCCUUUUGGUUCUACUCAUUUUAAUGUAAAGAAGAACCAAAACAUAUUCACUAGUUGAUUUUACCCUUGGUUGCACAACUAACCAUAUGGAGUCUAGACUUGAAAAUUUUAUGCAUUUUGGGUCUAACAAGUUAUGAUACUUAGACCUAGCAUUACAUGUGAAAGAAAACAAAAAAGUAAUAAUAAAAAUAUAAUUCUCAUUGGAAAAUUAAAAUUGUUAUGAAAUAUUUUAUUUUCUCAUAUGUUGUUUAGAUAUUGAUGGAUUGACUUGUUAAUUAAAGUUGAAAUAUUCUAAUAUUUUUCUGUCAUCAAGGUGUCUUAUGUGGUGACUCAAAAAUAGUAUUAAUAAAUGAUAAAAGAGAUUGUUGCUAAUCUUCAAAAUUAUAAAAAGUUUAUACACUUUGCUAGUCUUCAAAAUUAUAAAGCGUUUAUACUUUAAAAAAACAAAAUAAAUAAACAUUAGUCUAUAUUGAAUGUGUUAAUAUGAAGUACAUUGUAGCUAUAAUUUUUUAAAGGAUUAAAGAAAAAAACCAUUCAAUAUUUUGCUAGGUAUAAAAAAUCUUAUUUAUUACAAAUUAUUUUGUAGAUGAUGAAUCAUUGAUGAAGAUAGGCUAAGGAAUUUAUAAAAGGUAAAAAGUAAUUAUUCAUAUAAAUGAAAAGUGAAGGUUAUAUUUGUUAAGUAUCUUUAAAAGGGGAUUUCAAAACAUUACUUUCUCUAAUAAUAAUAAUGUAAACUCAAAAUAUAUGUAAAUGAAAAUAAAAAAUAGUAUUUUUAUAAACUUAAAAAUAAUAUAUUUGUUUUUUUAAAUAUUUUUAGUCAUAAUUAAAGGUCAUCAUAUCUGUCAAAAAUUUAUCUUUAUAUUAUUUAUUUUAAAAAUGAUUAUUCAUUAAGAAUCAUUUUGAUAAAAGGUAAAAAAUAAUUACCAUAUAAAUUAAAAGUGGAGGUUAUAUUUGUUAAUUAUUUAUAAAAGGGGAUUUCAAAACAUUACCUUCUCCAAAAAUAACAAUAAUAAUAAUAUAAACACAAUAUUGACUCAAAAUAUUAUGUAAAUGAAAAACUUAAAAAUAAUAUAUAUUUGUUUUUUUUUUUUUAAUAUUUUUAGUCAUAAUUAAACUUCAUCUACUCAUCACGUUUGUGGGAAUGGUAUAUAAGUCAAUGCCUGCUUUGCUCAGAAAUCAAAAACCAAAACUUGUUAAUCCUUGUUAUUACACACUAUCCUUGCUCUGUGUUGAACAUGGGUACAAGCCCCUUUCGAUAUUUUAUUUCCUUUUUUCUGCUUAUGCUAUGUUUUGAAGCCUGUUUGAGGGUGGGUGAUGCUAAAGUUGGGUGCAGAGAGAGGGAAAGGCAAGCACUCCUUCACUUCAAACAAGGUGUUGUGGAUGAUUUUGGAAUGCUUUCUUCUUGGGGGAAUGGGGAAGACAAAAGAGAUUGUUGCAAAUGGAGAGGAGUCGAGUGUGACAACCAGACGGGUCAUGUGAUCGUGCUUGAUCCUCAUGCUCCGUUUGAUGGAUAUUUGGGAGGUAAGAUUGGUCCUUCAUUGGCAGAGUUGCAGCACUUGAAGCAUUUGAACCUCAGCUGGAAUGAUUUUGAAGGUAAUUAUAUACAUAUAUACCUUGUGAAAAUUCAUCAAUUUGUCUCAGCAGAAUAUAAUUCUCUAUUUUUCCAAUUUUACAGGAAUUCUUCCCACUCAACUCGGAAAUCUUUCCAACUUGCAAUCCCUUGAUCUCGGCCAUAGUUUUGGGUUUAUGACCUGUGGAAACCUUGAGUGGCUUUCUCACCUUCCUUUGUUAACACACCUUGACUUGAGUGGGGUUCAUCUUAGUAAAGCAAUCCAUUGGCCACAAGCAAUUAAUAAAAUGCCUUCCCUAACUGAGUUGUACUUGAGUUAUACUCAGCUUCCUCCGAUUAUUCCAACAAUAUCCAUUUCCCAUAUUAAUUCCUCCACUUCUCUUGCUGUGCUUGAUCUCUCCGUGAAUGGUCUCACUUCUUCAAUAUACCCAUGGUUGUUCAACUUCAGUAGCAGCCUUGUUCAUCUUGACCUCUCUAUGAAUGAUCUAAAUGGUUCAAUUCCGGAUGCUUUUGGAAACAUGACUACUCUGGCAUAUCUUGGUCUCUAUGGGAACGAGCUACGUGGUUCAAUUCCGGAUGCUUUUGGAAACAUGACUAGUCUGGCAUAUCUUUAUCUCUCUUCAAAUCAGCUUGAAGGUGAGAUUCCGAAAUCCUUGAGAGAUUUAUGUAAUUUACAGAUACUAUACUUGUCUCAGAACAAUCUCACUGGACUGUUGGAAAAAGAUUUUCUGGCCUGCUCUAAUAACACAUUAGAGGUUUUAGAUUUAUCUCAUAAUCAAUUCAAAGGGUCAUUUCCCUGGCUUUCAGGAUUUUCACAGUUGAGAGAAUUAUAUCUUGAAUUCAAUCACCUAAAUGGAACUUUACCUGAAAGUAUUGGACAACUGGCUCAACUUGAAGUGUUGUCCAUUCGUUCAAAUUCAUUGCGAGGCACUGUCUUGGCAAACUACCUUUUUGGUCUCUCCAACCUGUCUGUCUUAGACUUAUCUUUCAACUCCCUUACAUUCAACAUAAGCCCUGAGCAAGUUCCCCAGUUUCAAGCCUCUCGUAUAAUGUUGGCCUCUUGCAAAUUAGGACCACAUUUUCCUAAUUGGCUUCAAACUCAAAAAUAUUUGUUGGACCUUGAUAUCUCUGCUUCUGGAAUUUCUGAUGUCAUUCCCAGUUGGUUUUGGAAUUUAAAUUCAGGUUUAGCAUGGUUAAACAUUUCCAACAAUCACAUCUCAGGCACUUUGCCAAAUUUACAAGGAAUAUUUUAUUUGGGAAUGUGGGAUAUGAGUUCAAAUUGCUUGGAAGGUUCAAUACCACAAUUUCUUUUCAAUAAUGAAUGGUUGUAUCUCUCCAAGAACAUGUUUUCAGGCUCAAUUUCUUUAUCUUGCCGGAUUGCUAAUCUGUCUGGUUCGGGUUUGUCCCAUCUUGAUCUCUCAAAUAAUCGACUGUCAGGAGAACUACCCAAAUGUUGGGAGCAGUGGAAACAUCUAAUUGUUCUUAAUUUGGCAAAUAAUAAUUUUUCUGGGAAAAUUAAAAAUUCAAUUGGCUUGUUAUAUCGGAUUCAAACAUUGCAUUUACGCAACAAUAGUUUAACCGGAGCAUUGCCUUUGUCCUUAAAGAACUGCAAAGAUUUGUGUCUUGUAGAUUUUGGAAGAAAUAAAUUAUCAGGCAAAAUACCUGCAUGGAUGGGAAGAAGCCUAUCAAGUUUGAUUGUUCUCAACCUAAGAUCCAAUGAAUUUAAUGGAGGCAUACCUUUAAAUCUAUGUCAAUUGAAAAAUAUUCAAAUGUUGGACCUCUCAAACAACAAUCUAUCUGGUACUAUACCAAAAUGUCUCAACAAUUUAAGUGCCUUAACUCAAAAAGGGAGUUUGGUCAUUUCUUAUUAUGAAGGAGAGUUGAAUGGUUGGAAGCUCUCCUAUCUUGAUAAUACAUUGGUUCAAUGGAAAGGAAAAGAACUAGAGUACACUAAAACUCUUGGACUUGUGAAGAGCAUUGAUUUUUCGAAUAACAAGUUAAUAGGAGAAAUUCCGUCAGAAGUAACUGAUUUGGUAGAAUUGGUGUCAUUGAACUUAUCAAGAAACGAUUUGAUUGGACCAAUCCCUGCAACCAUUGGUCAAUUGAAAUUAUUAGAUUCUCUUGAUCUAUCUCAAAACCAGCUUAAUGGUAGAAUUCCAGAUAGUCUUUCUCAAAUAGCUGGUCUAAGUGUUUUAGACCUAUCAAAUAACACCUUGUCAGGUAAAAUUCCAUUAGGCACUCAAUUACAGAGCUUUAAUACCUCCACAUACGAGGGAAAUCCUGAACUUUGUGGGCUACCUCUUUUGAAAAAGUGUCCAAAAGAUGAACCUGGGGAAGCCUCCUUCAUUGGUUUUAGUAGUAAAACAGAGGAUAUUCAAGAUGAUGCAAAUAAUAUAUGGUUUUAUGGAAAUAUCGUUCUUGGAUUCAUCGUCGGAUUUUGGGGAGUUUGUGGCACUUUACUACUCAAUAGUUCAUGGAGAUAUGCCUAUUUCAAGUUCUUGAACAAGAUAAAAGACCGAGUGUAUGUGACAACAACAAUAAAUAUGAAUAGACUAUGGAGGAGCUUCCAAAUUUAAAUGGUAAGAUUUCUCAAAUUCUCUCCUUAGUCUUUUUAAUAAAUUAUAUUACCUUAGUAGCCUCUUUCUAUUAUUGCUCAAAUCCCUAUUCUAUUAAUUAACUUACCUUCCACAACUUAUGGAGAUAAAAUAAGAUUUUUCAAAUAAAAAUAUCAUAUUUUAUUUGAUUAGAUGUGAAAUUCAACUAUAACUAAGGAAGCCUUGAAUAUUUUGAUAUACCAAAUAUAACAACACCACAUUUUUAGUUCUCAUUGUACAUAUAGAUAAAUGUUAUGGCUUGAGAAUCAUAGUUGAAAAAUUAUAAUUAUCACUAUUUUUUUCUCAUCUUGCUUUUACUUACAGUUGUACCUUUUGCUGAAGUUCAGUCAACUUGCUUUAAGAAUAUUUGAGGUUUUAUUGUAAGAAGCAUACUACCAUACUUUCCUUUAUAUUAAUCAAGAAAAGUAAAUUUGCUUCUAUUGAAGACAUUUUUUUCAAAUUGAUGAAUAUUAUUUCAUUUGUUGUAUUGCAGAACUUCAAUUGGGUUGCAUCUCAAGGAUUAGUAGGUAAUAUAUGCUUGUGAGUAAUGAGUUUAUUUAGUAUUGGACAGCCUGAAUGUAAGAGCAUUUGUGUUUAUUGAACUCAUCAUCUUAUAAAUAACUUUGGCGUGUAUUAAGUUUGUUUAUUUGAUAAUAGGCGUGGCUUAAGUUUCUUAUGUUAUGCUCUAUUUAGAGCGAAUCAAAUAUAUUAGAGGAUGAUAUCAAGUCCUUUGUGGUGCAAUGCUAGAAACUACUUCGCUUUAAAAAAAACGUUUUCUUUUGCUCAAAAACCAGUAGCAACUAAAGCCAUAAUUUAAAAUGGGACAUGGUAAGACUAAGAACAGAAACUGAGCACUCUGUUUUUCUGGUGCCCAAGCAUGGAAGUUAUUAUAAUAAAAAGAAACAGCUGGUCAGAAUAAAACAAAAUUCAAAACAUGGUGUUUCUCACAAUGCAUAUUGAGGCUUCAUCCACUGAUAUUCCACAACAGAUUAACCGUCAAAAACCCUUAUGUUGAGUAGGAGAAAAGAAGCUCCAUACUUCUCAGGACAUACAGAACAACACCUUGGGUAGAGACCUUGACCAUGCUUGCAGAAAUGUGUUUUUGGAGCAGCAAUCCGAAGUAUAGGAGGCUUCAUAUUUGGGAACACUCCUCAUUCAAUGUAUCAUUGUGACUGAGAUGACUACAUAUUGAGGUUUGAUCAGUUCUAGGAAGGUGACUGGUUAUCAUAAAGCAUUUACCAACCAUUCUUGAAUACAUACUUAUGUGAUUUAGCAGGAUGGAACUGCAACUAGUCAUUAAUUAAGCAACAAAAAUGGCUGUGGUAAGAUUCUGAGACAUUGAUUGUAUAUUCCAUUGUUUUUUAUUUGAGGUUAAAUUCGGCUUUUGUUUUUUUUACUUUUUAAUUCUCUACUGCUUACAUGCCUCUUGUAUCUGAAGAGGCUAAUUGUUCAUGCGGUUGAAUUUUGCAACAUUUUCUUAUUGUUCGGGGCUUAAGCUUCUGUUCAUUUUUUCAUUAUUAUGUUUUUGUGCUUUGUUUUUUAUGACUAAUCCCAUGCCACAUAGUGAAGUGUUCACAGAGAAUGACUGGAAAUUUGUCCAGCUUGGGCUUGCUCUAUUUUAGAACAUUUUAGCCAUUCAAGACAUCUCGUUGCAGUAGAAGGCUGGGAGUCUGCACGCCACUCAAUUUUUAUCUCUGAGUAACCAAUUUUUGGUGCUGUUAUUCUUCAUUGAUUUAGAAGAUGAGCUGUUAUUUUUGGGGAUAUCUGUGUUAUAAUACACAAUAGUAUGCAUUGGGAUAUGCUACUACUGAAAACAGAACAAUCUGUUUUUGUGGCGUCCAAGCAUAAAAGCUAUUGUCACACAGCGAGGUCUGAUUUCCAACUGUGAAUCAAAUUGCUCGAGGUACUUCAUAUGCAGAUCGCUGCAAGUGGCUUUGGCCAUCAAUCUCCUUCAGGGGAUGAUAAUAUUGAGAUUGCAGUGAAGGUUUGGGUGUUUGUCACAAUGCCUGUUGAAGCGUCAUCAGAUGAUAUUUAGUCAUCAGAUGAUAUUUAAUGACAGAUAGGGUAUCUGUGGGGUUGAAAUCUCAUUACAUGCGGCAACACAGUUCUUGAUAUUUAAUGACAGAACGGUAAGCGAACUUUAUAUGUAGUUUUUUCCCUUCUCAUGGGUUCAUUUGUAAGUGUCCCAAUUUUCAAACAGAUGAAUAAUGGAUGGUGAAAGUGUCCUACACAUCAUAGAACAAAGAACAAGGAACAAGGAUCAGGAGUUCCCUUUACCUCUUGGGAUCUGUGUUGACACAUCCAUCUCAAAUUUCACUACUUGCAUUUUCUUUUGGGAAGUUUUUAUUGAGGACAGAAUAAUAAAUUAGCAUAUAGCUCUGUGAUAUCUGUCUAACCAUGCUGGCUUUUCCAUUUUGCAGAUUUGCAUGCUAGAUUUAGUGCUUAAACUAUCACUGGAAGAUUCUAAAGAGCCUCAAACAGCCCACAUCCUUCUUUAAAAGUUAGAUUUAUGAUCAGACUGAUCAAGGGUUGACUCAUUUUCUCUUGAAUCUGAUCAAAUCCUUCGACUCUCAUACUAACCCAAAAGGUUUCCCCUUUCAUUUCAACAACUUAGAAGUUCAUUGUUGAUGAUGAUGUUGCUGUUAUAUUCAUUAUUAUUACAACUAAUUUGAUAAGCAAUUAUUGUUAUUAUUUUUCUUUAUCUUAUAACACAAUCAUAUGAUAAAUGGAAUAUAAUGUCAUGACUGCAUUGAAAUUCUUGACCAAACAGAAAAAUGGGAAAUUUUGCUGUCUAUUUUAAAGCAUUGUAAUCAAUAUAGGGUAUCAUGAUGAUGAAUCAAGUCAACCUUGCCCCUACACUUUUGUGGUUGUGAAUGCAUUGAAAGAAAGUAAUAAUUCAGUCUGUGAAUCAAACAGGCCAUUAGUUCUUCGAAAGACUGAUACUCGAGAUGAAUGGGAAUUUGAGGCUGUAAGGCUGGGACGAUGAUGUAAACGGCACUCGCCAAUGGGUUCCUGAAUGGUCUGCAGUUUCUAAUCCAUGUGAUAUUGCUGGGGCUUGCCCUGUGUAGCUUGGACUGAAGCAAAACUAAUGCCUCCAGCAUGUACAUGCCUGCUGGGGGCUUCUAAUGUGGGAGACGGCGGCCAGUGCUCAGAGAAUUCUUCGGUGUCAACCGCGAGAUGUGAUAAUAAUCAUCGGAAUUCGACUGCUUCCAAGCUGAAGAUGUCGAUAGUGCAGCAAACUAAGUACUAUUAUCUCAUUUUUCCGAUUAUAGCAAAUUACAGUAACAUCUCGCCAUUAUCACAGUGCGGUGAUGCUUGUUUAUCAGACUGUGAUUGUGCUGCUUCCGUGUUGGCUGCUAAACAACUUGGAGUUUGGUGGAUUCGAGGACACGAGUUCGACCUUGUUUGUGAAGGUUGGGCCUAAGGGAUCACCUGGAGGCAACGCAACAGGAUUUGGGGAUUCAUCUGAUGGCCUCUGAGACAAGGUCUUAGUUCUUCCAAUUGUUCUCAGCAUGACUGUCCUUGUAGGACGACUCUGCUUCUUGUUAUACCACAGUGUGUACAGGAGGAGGGCCUUGAAGAGAGCCCUGGAAAGCCCCUUGAUUGUGUCCGGCGCUCCAAUAAAUUUCAGUUACUGUGAUUUGCAGUGCAGAACCGGCAAUUUGCACAGGUCAGCAUGUACAUAUACAUAUAUAGACUUUGAAAAGGAUGAAAUUGCUUGAACAAAGCCAAUUAGACUUGAUCAAUGAGGAUUAAUGUUGUCUUCUUUUUUUUUUUUUUUUUCAUGAGAGUUUGGGAGUGUAUACAAGAUGGGACAUUGGUUGCAGUGAAGAAGCUUGACAAGCCUCUUGGGAAGAAGGAAUUCAUAACUGAAGUGAAAACUAUUGGCUCUAUGCAUCACAUGAACCUGGUUCAACUCUGCGGCUACUGCUCAGAAGGCUCUCACCAGUAUGCAUUUCAUUUCAUUGCCUAAUACCAAUUACCACUAACCAUAUUUAAAUUCUUAUCAUCCUCUUUGGGGGUCAAGCAUACUAUAUCUUCGAGCUUGUAAUGGGGUUGGAAUUUGAUGAUUCUUCACAGGCUUCUGGUUUAUGAGUUCAUGAAAAACGGUUUCUUGGACAAGUGGAUAUUUCCCUCAAAGCAUUGUCGGGACAGACUGCUAGAUUGGGGAACUCGCUUCCAUAUAGCCAUUGCUACUGCACAAGGUAUUGCUUAUUUUCAUGAGCAGUGCAGGAACCGGAUCAUCCACUGUGAUAUCAAGCCCGAAAACAUACUUCUAGAUGAGAAUUUCUAUCCAAAAGUUUCAGACUUUGGACUAGCAAAGCUGAUGGGCAGAGAGCAUUGACAUGUAAUCACUAUGGUGAGAAGAACUAGUGGUUAUUUGGCUCCAGAAUGGGUGAGCAACCGACUUGUUACUGUAAAAGCCGAUGUCUACAGUACAGAUAGCUUCUUUUGGAGAUCGUUGGUGGCUGGAGAAACCUUGACAUGACUUUUGAUGAAGAAGACUUCUUCAAUCCUGGGUGGGCUUUUAAGGUAUAGAUCAGUCAAGUUCUUGCUUUUGUAAAUCACAAAUUGUUAAGUGUUUGAUAUUUUAUUAACAAAAAUGUCAAUUCCUCUAGGAAAUGAGUAAUGGGACGACGAGAAAAGUUGCAGACAGGCGAUCGACUGGAAGGGGCAAUGGAGGAAGAAGAGCUGGAAGAGCAUUGAAAACCGGCUUUUGGUGCAUUCAAGAUGAGGCUUUCAUGAGGCCUUCAACGGGGGAAGUGGUGAAGAUGUUGGAAGGAUCACUUGAAAUCAACACACCGCCAAUGCCACAGACAGUGCUGUAGCCCAUGGACGAAGGCCUAGACAAUGUAUACAGAGCCAUGAAGAGAGAGUUCAACCAGUCCAGCUUCAUCACCAUCAAUAGUACCCAUCCUUCAUCAAGGGCUACAUGUAGUUAUUCCACAAUGUCACCAAGAUAGCAAAGGAGAAAUGGAACAAAUUUUGUUGCUGUCCAAGAAUUUUAUCCCCAUGAUACUUUGAUACUGUCCAGAAACAUAGUAUUUAUUGACCAUUUGUUAAACUAGUAGAGAACUUUGCAUAAUGUUGUUGCUAAGAUUUCAAAUGGUAAAAGAAAUUAUAUUAAUUGCGAAACAAAAACAUAAACAAUUAGGUUGAGGUACGGAAAUCUCGUUCUUUUAAAGGAGAUUUAAGCCAUUUCUAGUUUGACAAUUUCAGAAAUCGGUAUACUUGACUUCUCUUUGGUUUGUCCCCUCAAGGAUACAAUGGUCCAAGUGAUUUGUUGCAUAGCUCACGUCAAUAUGCAUAAAGCAUAGAACUCAAAGCUAGCGGUUCACAAACAAACCUAUUUUUUUUGGCCAAGAGAAAAUAAAUAAAUAAAAAGGAAGAAGGCAGAAGAUGACUAAAAAAAUGUGUUAAAGUUAUAUGACAUUAGGAGGGUGAGUCAAGGCUAAUCAUAAAGUUUGAAAUGUUCAACAAUUUCAAAAUAAUUCAAUCUCGAUAAAUCCCAUUAACAUAAAUGAUAUUUAAUAUUUUUUAAUUUCCAUAAUUUUACAUUUGUAACUACAAAUUUAAUAACCCAUUAUGCCAACUUUAAUCCCUAUAACUUUCAUAUAUAACCACAACGUUAGUAACUAGUUUCUUUAAUCCCAAAUCUCCAUUUUUUUGAACUUUUAAAAACUUUUUUGGACCUCAUAUGACUUAGAUAUUGAUUUGAUAGGUUAAUUAUGCUUAGGGGGUGUUCAAUUGAUGCUUGAAAAAAAUCAAAAUAAAAAAAGACUAAGAAAUGAGUAAGGAUACAAAGCAUGUCAAAAUAUGAUAUCCCACAUCGGAUAUGGAAGAAAGUUCUUGACACUAUAUAUGUAGAGACUCCUCUUAAUUAUGUAAACGUGUCUUAAAACCAUGAGGGUCCCUUUGGGUUUAAAGCGAACAAUAUCUAUACUACGAAAAAUGUGAUGAAUUCUCGCAUUCUUCAUACCCUCCUCCACUUCUUUGAACUUUAAAAAAAAAAAUUGAACAUCAUAUGAUUUUGAUAUUGAUUAAAUAGGUUAAUUACACUUGGUGGGUAUGAGAUUAAUGCCCGAAAGAAUUGAAAUCGAAAAUUUAAAAAAAAUUUUGAGGAUUCCUCACACUCUUCAUACCUUAUCAAAUUUCCACUUCUUUCAAUUUUUGAAAUCUUUUUUGAAUGUCAUAUGGAUUGAAUAUUGAUUAAAUAAGUUAAUUUAGAAGGUGUGAAAUUGAUGUCUGAAAAAAUCAAAAUCCAAAAAUAUUAAAAAAUUAGCAAAGAGUGUGGAAUUCCUUAUUGCUACUAAUUAUAUUAUUAUUAUUAUUUUGUAUUUUCAAUACUUCAACCAAUAUUUGAUGUGAUUAAAUUUAAAAUGUAAGAAAGAAUUUAUUAAUACAAUUUUCAAUUAAUAAUUAGUACACAACUAUCUUAAUUUUUAAACAUUGUAUACUUAUUUAAAUUUAUUUUCAUAUUUUUAUAAAAGUGUAAUUACACUUACAAUUUAUUGAAAUUUUUGUAAAGCUCCUGAGACGUAAAGGUUAUAUCACGAUACUGAAUUCUGCUAUGCUCGCCUUUCAAGCUCUGAUGCUCCACGCCUGCAGCUCCGUUCUUUGCAACUGAAAUACACCAUUAGCUAUGUCCGCCUGUGAUUAAUGCUCUUGCCA